CUCACCAUUUAUGUGUAUUAGGGACUCCUUUGCAUGAGUACAAUGUCCCCCUUAGCCUAAUCUAGGCUUAAUACCCUAUUAUGGCAUGAAAUUCCUUAUUUUCCCACCCGGAUGAACAGUAACCCGGACCGACAGCCAGUUACUUCAUCCCAGGUUUAAUCUACUUUCCAAACUCCAAACUCUAUGAAAUUUAUACCUAAUAUUCUACACUUAUAGGGGUUUCCAGAAUGGUGAUAUGCAUCACCAUCGGAGGCCGAUUGACCCCCAAAACAAUUCGCUGAAAUUAGGACUUCGACACAGGUUUUCCGCAGUUUCGGAAAACCUUGCCGAAAUCCGAUUCUCUCUCUCUUAACCACCUCUAAAACCCCUAUCUAACCUCUUUACAGCCUCAAUUCCAUUAGGGGACUAGGUAGGGAUGGGGUACUCACCACUUUUUUCUCUCGUCUUCCCUCCUUCCUUUAUUUCCCCUUCUUUUUCUUCUUCUUCAUCGCCUUAGACCUCUUCUUCUUUUCUCUGUGUCUCCCUCUCUGUUUAAUCCCACCGCCACAGCACCCCAAACCCCCCAUUUAAAUCACAUCAAGCACUGUUCACCCUUUGUUUAAAAUUAUUAAAUUCCCAUUUUGCCCCCGACACUUCAACGUAUCUACUGUUAUGCCAUUAACUUUUGAUUCCUUUCAAUUUUACCCCUUAUAUUAAUGUUAAGGACUAUUCUAUCCUUCUUUAUAUAGAAAAAAAAAUGGGGGUUAUUACACCACUACCCAUGGAGUUGUAUGCUCCAUUUCCAAAUUUUGAUCCAAUAUUUUGAAUGGUGAUGUCGCCAGGAAAGUUAGCCAACUAUCCAGACUUUGUAGUUGUAUAAUGAAGCCUGACAGUUCACAAACAUUGAAAAUGCAGUCUAAGAAAGAAUCAAUCACCAUGGCUUUUAAGCAAGAUAGGAAUAUGAUACAAUGUACAUCAUGAUCCUGUGCACAUAAAUAACUGCAUGUGUGCCAGAUAUAGUUUACAUAGUUAAUAGUAUAUCACGUAGAUGCAACACAAUAAGGAUGAGCUAGGGUAUCACAAGCAGAAAAAGUGAAGAAAGACGGAGCAUCCCUCAUCAGUAGGGGUGUAAUCAAGCCAAGCCAAGCUGAAUAGCAGGCCGCUCGAGCUCUGCUUACUAUAUAUAUGAGCUUCCGAAACUUAGCUCAAGCUCAAGUUGAGACUUCAGCUUUUGAAGCUUGGUUGAUUAAGCUCUGCACCGAGGUUUUAUCGAGCUGAUCCAAGCUUAUCCAUUAUUUCUACAACUGGCUCAUGUUCAAACUUGGCUCAUUAUGAGCCAAGCUCCAAAAAGUAUUUGAGCUCGACUCAUUUUCUAGCUGACCUGAGCCUGGGCCUAGAUGAGCCCGAGCUGCUCAUGAGAAGCUCAGAUCAUUUGCAGCACUACUCCUCAGCAUUCUUGGUAUUCACACAAAAUCAAAUUGUCGAAUACCACUACCCAUGGAGUUGUAUGCUCCAUUUCCAAAUUUUGAUCCAAUAUUUUGAAUGGUGAUGUCAGGAAUGUUAGCUGAUUCUCCAGACUUUGUAGUUGUAUAAUGAAGCUUGACAGUUCACAAACAUUGAAAAUGCAGUCAAAGAAAGAAUCAAUCACCAUGGCUUUUAAGCAAGACACGAAUAUGAUACAAUGUACAUCAUGAUCCUGUGCAUCAGUGAUAAGAUGCACAUAAAUAACUGCAUGUGUGCAAGCAUUCCCUGAGCCAUCUGGCUCCUACUUUCCAAGCAGUGAAAUAUAUAAGCAUCAGAAGAUGGAUCAAGAAAAUCAAGCUGCUAAGCAGCAGAAAUGCUCAUUCACAUGAACUUGUUCUCCUCCAAGAACCAUGUAGUAACUAGCAUUAUGAGAUUUUUUUAUGCAGCCAGAAAACUAGGGAGCAUGAACUUUUUCAGCAACUCAUGUAGACUAUUGAGAAAAUAUGACAGAAAUGAAUAUUACUGUGAACUUGCUCUUCUCCGAUAACCAUGUAGAAACUAACAUUAUGAGAUUCUAAUUAGGGAGCAUGAAUUGUUUCAGCAACUCCAUGUAAAUUAUUGAGCAAAUAAGUUAAUAUCAAGAUUAUCAGGAUAUCAAAAAAUCAGCUAUAAGAUCUUUCUCCACUGCUCACUUUUCUAUAUAUAAGAGUAAAGGCGUGAAUGAUAAAGUCAUCAGACUUGAGAUCAUAUUUUGUAGUUGUUUCAAAGCCUUGAACGUUUGAGCCAUGACCAAGUCCUGUCUGUGCAUAGCAGUCAAAAGUUUGCAGCUUAUAGGCUGAAGGUAACAACUUCUGCUGCCCAUCUGGACAUUGUCCUUAUAUAGCAGGAAUAAACUGGCCCUGCAAAAAGAUCAAUCAAACCAAAAGUCAAUUGCAGAAUGAUAAGCUUAUGUGGGUCAUCAAAGCAUAUGAGGCCACUUCAGAACAUUAAGAAGUUUCUGCUUUCUAGGGAAGUCAAGUUAUAACACAAAAGAAGAUUAAGUAAUUGUGACAGAAGCAAACAAAAAUAGCAUACCAUUCAAGAAAAUUCACAAACAAGAUCCCAUUAAUUAAUAGAAUGCUCCUCAAGCAGCCAGGGACAGGUUUGAAAUCAUAACACAGUUUCCUUUUGAACCUAAAUUCUGAGGUGGCGAAUCAGCCCAUUCAUUGAAAUAUAGUUCAGUGAAUGAAGUCCAUGAAUGCUAUAGAAAAACUUAAGCUAUAUGUGGAAUAGAAGGUUCAAUAAUAAAACCAGAAAAAAUGCUAGAUCUUCUGCUUCAGAAGUAUGUAAAAAUGAUAAAGAAUUUGCAAAUUGAAAGACUAAGGAAAUUGAAAACCCAUUUUGUGAUAAGAACUAUCACAAAAGUUAAAAAAGAAAAAGAAAUAAACCUUAGCAGCUGUACCAAUUAUAAAGUUUUGGUCAAUAUAGUUCAAUGACAAAUGGGAGGCCAAAUAAGAAAAAAUUGCAUUAUUCGAUAUUCAAGUAGUCUAAUUUGUGAUAUAACUUGGCACUCGCCAAUUCAGAAUGCUAACUGAUCAGCCCUUAUUAGGAUCGUAUCUGAAAGGUGUCAAAGUAUAAAUGUAAGAGAACCUGCUAUUUGAUAGAGCAAGUGUUGCCCCUAUAUGAGUCUAAAUCAUUAAAGGCAUCAAUAAUCUACAGGAAAACACAUCCCUUAAACGUAACCAACAAUACAUAGUGACUUUAUGGAUCAAGACAUGAUCCAUCAAGACUGACAACAAUUUAUGACAACCUUUCAACAUGACAUCAACCAACUAUAACUUGGUAUAUUUCCUAGCCAAGGCAACCAUAAGAAAGAGAGAGCCCCCUAACAUGAAACCUAGAGGGCAAGAUGGUGGGCCAAGAUGGAUUUCAUGCUUCAAACAUAUCAACCUAAGAGCAAACAUAGCAGAUUUGCUAGACAUGGGAAGAGUCUAGGCUCUAGUCAAGGAGAAAAGAGCCAAGAUUUUGGUCUUUUGGAUAAGAUCUGCAUCCAUCUCGAAGGCACAGAUAAGGUCAAAAUAUAUUUAAGUUGUAUAUACCUGUGUAAAAUUAAAGGUACUACAAAUUUAAGAAAUAAUUUUUCAGGAUUGUUUAGUCGAUGCUUCUCAUCCUUAUGAGCACGCCACAUGAGUUUUAAAGUGUUUCUUGUAUCAGUCUGUCUGCAUCCAGGAAUAAAGAAUCACAUAUCACUUCUGUAUAGAUAUUGGACCAAUGCAGAGGGCAUGAUGUGCCAGUACUAGCAUGCACUAGCACAUACUGACAUAGGAAACUGGUUGCACAUACACAAAAGAUACAACGCUUACAGUGGAUUUAGACCAAGUUUAAUUACUUCAAUGUGACAGGUCAGGUUUCAGAUUAAAACUGAGGGGAAGCAUGUCCUAAAAUCUACACUUCAGCUUUAUCUCCUUUCUUCAUAGUUCGCCCAAAUAUAUAGAAUCAUGCCCCUCUUCGGUCCUCCAUAACUUCCUUGCAAGACAUUCUGUGAUCCAGAUGACAUUGGAUGGUGAAAUUGAUCCUUUAUUGAUGAUGCAAGGACUAUUUGUUGUGGUUGGUGUUUAUUGGAAAAAGAAAAACCUAACUUCAAGCAAUAAGAACUCUAUCACUCAAUAAGAUUUUGAGAAGUUCAUCAUCUUCAUCUAAAAUUGUCAUUAAGGAAAGCCUACAACCAAGGACUAAAGUAUAAAAUUUCAUGCCUAUGCCAGUCAAAGACCAGCAGGUUUCUAUCUUAUUUAUCCAACAAGGCGAAUAUAAAUCUUAAGCAUCAGGUGGCUGAUGUUUAAGCAAACUAUCAAGUUUAUCUUGAAUCCUUGAUAUUGGAUCAGACCUUUUAGCCUGAUAACAAUAAAGUCUUCGAAAAACUAGCCAUUGACAGAUGUAUACAUAUAUGUUAACAUAGAUCCGUUCUUAUCAUUAGCAUGCACAACUGCCAUAGAAGUACAGGAACAAAAAGUGCAUACUUACUGCAGAUCCACACAACCAGAAUGAUUCAAAAGAAUCUUAUGCCUCUAGUUCUGUUUAUUAAAAAUGUCUGACAAGUGGUGAAACAAUAAGCAUGGCACUCGAAGAAUUAUGCCAACUUUUAAGUACCAGUGAUGAUGAAAUAUUCAAAUGAGAUAGAAAAUUCAUGUUCUCUAACAAACUUCUCCAGAAAUUACAAAACAUAUUUGCAAAUAUGGUUGAAUUAUAGUGGUUAUAGAAAUAAAAGACUCUUCAACCAUCUACUUCACAGCUUACUAGAAGGAAAAAUAACCCAAAAUUUUAUCAUUGAAGAAAUGUAGCAAAUAAUGUCAAACAACCGUUAAUAAAAGUUCCACUCAAGCACUUUGUAAUUGUUGUAUCAGAAGCCUUAGCCCUCUAAUGCAAGAACAUUACCAAAAAUGAGCUCGGAUCAGAAGGUUACUAGUAAAAGCAAGCUCAUAGAUGAGUUUCCAUGCAUGGGCCAGUCUCCUUAGGUUGCUCUUAAACAAUUCCUUUCUCCCAAGAAUUGCUCUGUUAUCCUUGUGAAAUUCCUAACAAACAAGGUAGGUUGCUCUUAAAGUUCCACGGUUAACAAAGUCCAAACACAAAAUUCAGUAGUAAACCCUAGAACCCUAGAGGAGAAGGCUAUUCAAGAUCAUGAGGACAACUUCCCCUAAAAACUCCAGAAUUCAAAGCUGUAGCCAGACCACUAAGCAGUAAUCCAAGUUCCGCAGAUGAUCUAUACAUGUACACGGAUGCAGCCAAACUAGGAAUUCACGUUCAAUUUUAUUUCCGAAACCCAUAUAAUAUACCGAACCAAUGCAAUCAUUAAAUAAAUUCAGAUAUUGCAAACAUUGAUCUUUCGAUCCCAUACUUCAUGAGGAAGAAAAAUCGCAAACGUUGACAAGAAUCUCAAGAAAGCCGAUUCUAAUAAGUCUGGGUCAGUUCGAAAAACCUAAAAUCUUUUGCGGACUUCGCAAGGAAAAAAAAAAUCCAAGAUGGAUAAAAUAUCUACCAAUUUUUUCCAUCAAGAAAUAUAUAAAAGAGUUCAAGAAGGUAACUUUCAAGAAAGAAAUAGAUAAAAGGAAAGAGAGAACAUGCACAGGAUCAUCGGCGACGGGGCGAGAGAUCCUGUAGAUGACUUGGGAGGCGUUCUUGGAGCCGACGUAGACGAUUUCUCGCGGCCUCGCCUCCCUCCAAUUUUUCCACAUAUUUUCGUCCGCAGAUCUUCUCGAAGAUAGAAUUUAUAAUAAUUUUUUGGGGAAAAACCAGAACUGUUUUGUGGAAAAAAAAGAGAAAGGAGACGCCGUAGGACACAAGAAAACAAGAAACGGGGAGUCGAUUCACAUACUAAUCAGAAGCGACCAGCAUGUAGCCGUUGGAGCCGUUGGACGUUGGACUGUUGUUUCCAGAUUAUUAAAAUACCCUUACACUUUUUCGAAAUUAGAAUCAACCUAGAGAUUGGGACACCGAAAUGACAAUAAAGUAAAAUUGGUACUAAUUGCUACUUUGGAAAACAAUUUUAAUAUUUAUUUAUUCACACCUGAUGAGGUACUUUAAUUCACUGGACAUCAAGUUCUAGUUAAUUAUAUACUUUGGGUUGUUGAUGAAGCGAGGCUUUGUCGUUGGCACCGCUAAUUGAGAGUAAGAAGGUGGCAACUUUGCUAUAUUUCUCAUUAGAGUUUAAUCUUAUAUUUUUUUCUAAGUCUCCAAUGAUCUUCUUGUCUCAAUCAACAACUUAAUCAUAUCUUUUAUUUAGUUUGCUUCAUAAGAGUGAUCGAGAUUCACUUUAAUAAUGAUUCGUAUAAAGUAACCUACAUCUUGAGAAUGGUGGAUAAGAUAAGUGGAGCAAGAUAUCACACCUUGUAAAUUGUAUGUGGAAUAAUGUAGUUCAUCAAAAAUCCUAGAUUUCAACAUAUAUCCACAACCAUUUGCUUACCCUACAACAUAUAUUGGAUCUUUUAUCAAAAACAUUGGUAUGCACCUACUACUUUCUAAUACAAGUAGAAACAAGAAAAGGAGGAGAAAAAAUUAGAAGAAGGGGGGGGGGGGGCAUUGUUUCAUAAGGGAAUAUGAUUGAGGUACUAAAAUAAAUAACAAGGUCUACAAAACUAUUCCCCUCUUAGAGCAUGAGUAAUAUUAGUCUCACUUUAAGUUGAAGAAGACAAGGAUUAUAAGGCUUAGUUGUACCAUCCUUUAUCCACUUUAUGAUAUGUAAAUCCUCUAUAAUGAAGAGUUUGAUAGCAUGGAGGUGAUUCAACAUAUUUUACACCCAUCCAAGCAACCAAUAUAUCUCCAAUAGAAUAGAUACUGACAAUGGCAUAUACCUAGUAUCUUGCGACCUCCAUCAUCCCUAAUACAAACACAACCACUUUUCAUUAGCUCUUCGGCCAUUUGUAGGUGUGCAUACAAAAUUUUAUUAUUUAAAAGUAUAUUCAGUUUCUUAAAAAAAAAUGAAAAAAUCAAAAAAUUUUAAAUAAAUAAAUCUUUCAAUUAUUUGGAGAAAUUUAAUAUAUAUAUAUAUAUAUAUAUAUAUUACUAAAUCUGAACUUAAAUUUUNNNNNNNNNNNNNNNNNNNNNNNNNNNNNNNNNNNNNNNNNNNNNNNNNNNNNNNNNNNNNNNNNNNNNNNNNNNNNNNNNNNNNNNNNNNNNNNNNNNNNNNNNNNNNNNNNNNNNNNNNNNNNNNNNNNNNNNNNNNNNNNNNNNNNNNNNNNNNNNNNNNNNNNNNNNNNNNNNNNNNNNNNNNNNNNNNNNNNNNNNNNNNNNNNNNNNNNNNNNNNNNNNNNNNNNNNNNNNNNNNNNNNNNNNNNNNNNNNNNNNNNNNNNNNNNNNNNNNNNNNNNNNNNNNNNNNNNNNNNNNNNNNNNNNNNNNNNNNNNNNNNNNNNNNNNNNNNNNNNNNNNNNNNNNNNNNNNNNNNNNNNNNNNNNNNNNNNNNNNNNNNNNNNNNNNNNNNNNNNNNNNNNNNNNNNNNNNNNNNNNNNNNNNNNNNNNNNNNNNNNNNNNNNNNNNNNNNNNNNNNNNNNNNNNNNNNNNNNNNNNNNNNNNNNNNNNNNNNNNNNNNNNNNNNNNNNNNNNNNNNNNNNNNNNNNNNNNNNNNNNNNNNNNNNNNNNNNNNNNNNNNNNNNNNNNNNNNNNNNNNNNNNNNNNNNNNNNNNNNNNNNNNNNNNNNNNNNNNNNNNNNNNNNNNNNNNNNNNNNNNNNNNNNNNNNNNNNNNNNNNNNNNNNNNNNNNNNNNNNNNNNNNNNNNNNNNNNNNNNNNNNNNNNNNNNNNNNNNNNNNNNNNNNNNNNNNNNNNNNNNNNNNNNNNNNNNNNNNNNNNNNNNNNNNNNNNNNNNNNNNNNNNNNNNNNNNNNNNNNNNNNNNNNNNNNNNNNNNNNNNNNNNNNNNNNNNNNNNNNNNNNNNNNNNNNNNNNAGAGAGCGCGAUGGAGAUGAUAGGAGAGAAGCGGGUGCAGAACGUUGUGGUGAUGAGGCACGGGGACCGGAUCGACCACUUCGAGAUGAUGUGGGCGGCGAACGCGGCGCGGCCCUGGGACCCGCCGCUGACGGAUGGUGGCAAGAUCCGGGCUUGGACUGCCGGGAAGCGGCUGAGGGCCCUCGGCUUCCCCAUCCACCGCGUCCUUGUCUCACCCUUCCUCCGCUGCCUCCAGACCACCGCCGAGGCUGUCUCCGCUCUCUGCGCCGUCGUCGACGAUGAAGCCCGCCUCCUCACCAUGGAGACCAGCCAAGACGUCGUCAUCGAUCCCUCCCGCGUCAAGGUAUUCCUGUCCGUCACCUAUUUUUUUCUUUUCUUGUUUUUAGGGUUUUGUAUGAGCAAAUAACAAGCCUUAUGAAGAAAAUGACCUAAACGUAUGUCCUCUGUCAAGAAAAUGACGUGCUUGGUGGUGGCCUCGCCUCCUCUAUCAAAAUGUUAAAGAAGGAUUUUUUUUAGCCUUUUUUCCAUCAAAAAGUUGUUCUUUCUCCAAAAAAGGAUCUUUUUCCCCCCAAGAAGCUUGUUCCUCGUUAUAUAAUAGCUUUGGUGGUUGAAAGAAACAAAAGAAGAAAAAAGGUUCAUAAGAUUAUGUAUUUCGUGUAAGUGAUUUUUUUCCCCAACUUAUUUUUUGGCACACUGGUGAACCAGAUUACUCAAAUAUGGUUUUCUUUAGGGGAUGACAGUAUAUUCCUUAACUGUGUAGACUUUUAGGGUUUUGUCGGCAACUGAUGCCUGAAAUGCACAUUUGAAAUAAAAUGGUCUGCAUUGAAUGGGCGAAUACUACUCAUGUUGGAGUAAGAUUUAUGCAUCCCUAUUUCUUUACCUCCCUUUUAUGUUGCAUCGAAUCGAAUCAGCAUAGUCCGUAACGGUAUGAUUCAUUAAUAUGGAAUAACUGCAUUCGGACCAUGGAAAAUUGGAAUUUAUGGUCUUUUUAUUGUUUUAGAAAUAUAGUUUGUCAGUUUGCAUAAGCAGAUAAAAAUGCUGGGGGAAAAAACAGAAUAAGAAGAUUUCUAGACUUGUUAUUUUUGGAGGUAUCCUGGAAGUGAUCGAUUAGGAUUCAGAGAAAAAGAGAUGCACAUCAGGGCCCGUUAUUGGGGUUCUGUCAGAAAUUAUGUAUAUCUGGGAGCAAGCUGGUAUGGGAUUGUAGUUUGAAAGGAAAAAUGAAGAAGGCAGAGGAAUUGAGAAAGGAGAAUAAGAAAAGAGAAAAAGAACAUAGAAGUUAUAGAGUGAAGAGAGGAGAGAAAUAUGAUAUAUGAACCUUUCAAUUGCAUGGUAGCUUGCUUUCCUCUUUUUUGCCAGAUAGAGAAUUAGACAACUUAUAUGGAAGGGCUUCUAAAAGUAAUAUAAAAUAUAAAAAGAUCUCAAUGUUUCUUUUAAAUCCUUCCAAAUGAAAAUGGGAAAAAGAUCAUGAUAUAUCUUUCAAAAUCAACUAAAUCUAAAGGAACUAGAGUUGCAUUGAUCAUCUAAAUAUUGUCCUAAAAUCUUCUAAGAUCAUUAAUCUUUAGUAAGUAAAUAUCUCACUAUUGCUGCUUGCAUUAAAAAUAUUGUGAAGUCUCGGAUCUCAGGCAUGAUUUGCAUCUCAAGGAUGCCAUUCUUUAGCAGAAUUUAGUACUUUUUGUGGAAAAGAACACACACUGCAUCCAAAUUAAGAUAUUUGUCCUUUUUCAUGGAUGGCACCUCAUGUCCUUGAAUGUUUUCUUUUCUCAUUAGUUCCUCCUUUUCAUUAGAACUUGUGUAAACCUUAAGUAAUUUUCCUUAGCCUGCUUGGUGUAUACAACUUUUUAAUAUAAAUAUGCCACUCCAUUGUUGUUGGUUUUCAGUGAGGUGCAGGUGUGAUAUAUACUCAUUGCCCUGCAGUUUGAAAUACCUGCUCUGAACCAGUAAAGUAUCAAUACAUGGAUGAAUUGUUUUAGGCUGCUUGUUGUUAGCUUUACAUGAACAUUGCUAAGGUUGUGGACAGCCCCUCCAUUUUCACUUCAAGUAGCAAAUCUCACAUGUUCCAAAAAUAAUGUCAUGUGAAUCACCUAAGGAUUCUUCUGAAUCAUCAACAUAACAUUAAAGAAUGAAACAUUUUAUGGAAGGGAUGGCUGAUUUUGUGGUUUUUUCCUGAGUUAUGUCACUGAUAUGCUUUAAGACUUUACUUGAUAGAAGCAUAGCUCCAGGAUAUGCAUUUGCCAUGUGUUGAAGAGUUUGGUGGAGAGCACAUUGCAAAAGAUUGGUCCCAUUUAAUUUUCAGAAAAGUUUACACAAAUGAGGAGCAUUGUCGAAGCACAUGGAAACCCUAGGGAGAUAGGUGGAGGAUAUAGUUAAAUGCCUCUAAAUGAAACAUUAGUGGACAGUCUUUUAUAAGUACUUGGAUGCAUUCAUUCGUACUACAAAAAUUUACCCACUAUCUAAUAACGGCCACUAUCAAUGUCAGCCACUUAAUCUUCAAAUUGAUCUAGCUUCUCACGCCUUCCUAAUAUGGUAAUUAUUUUCUGAAUUAAUAAUUACUAUGAGCUCAUUACUUGGACAGCUAAUGAUAACUCGACAACCAAGAUGGUCUAGUUCAUAAUUUUUUCCUUUUAUAUAGAUAUAAAAAGAUGAACCCAUAAAUCAUAAACUGGAUGCUCAUUAUGCAGUUAAGUUCUGGACUUUAUCCAAUGGUCCAACAUACAAUAGAUUUUAUCUUAUUGUGAUGCCUUCUCUAAUAUUUAUUAUAUAUAUUGGAGGAACCAUAUUCCUAGCUAACAAGGCUUUUUCCUGACAAAACAUUAAUGGACUAGCACUGAAUUAGUUGAAUGAGCUGACUUUUGAAAAAAAAAAUUGGCUUCUUUCUAAUGAAAGGCUACCUCCAUUAAUGGAACGUAACCAUGGAGUUUAAUUGCAGCAUUUCAUUAAUUGUGCAACCUCUGCCAUCUCUUCCCUUCCUCUGGCUACAAUCCGGUUUAAUUAUGAGAUCCUGCUUACAAAGACACCUUGAUGGUAUUUGCAAUCAAUAAGCAAAAGCAGGGUUUAUUCCACUUUUUUCUUUCUUUUAUUUAAACAACUAGCUGUCAAUCUUGUGGCAAUUCUUCACUUUUCUCAUUCAGCCUUGGGAAUGGCAUUGGCUGUCUGUUCCUUAUUGCAUGAUAAUAUGGGGGUUGGACAGUUUAUCCAAACAUCAACAGUAUCAAGGGUCAUAUUUUUCCCCUAACUGAUCUCCUUGAACUUUCUCUGUUUCACAGGUCUCAAUAGAAUAUGGAUUAUGUGAAAUGUUAAAUACACGAGCCAUAGGUGAAGAAUUUGCUCCUAAAGAUGGCACCUGGUUUCCUGGAGUUUCAAAACUUGAAGCUUUGCUGCCAGCUGGAACUAUAGAUCAUUCUAUGGAGCAUAUUUACCAAGGGGUCUUGACUAAUUCAUUAUUCAUCAUGAAUAUCUUGUUUAAUUUAUAUGAUCAUUUAUUUAUGAGCAAAAGUCUUUUUUAAAUCUGUUUUAUUAGCAAAUAAUGUACAUUGAUUGCUGCAGAUGCCAUGUUGGGAGGAGUCUGUUCUUGAUGCAAGGAAUAGAUAUGCGAGUAUCAUUCGGGCUCUUGCAGACAAGUAUCCCCAUGAAAACUUGCUGCUGGUCACACAUGGUCUGUGCGUCUUUGUCAAUCUGAUUAUAGUGUUUCCAUGUGUAACUUGAUUAUAAACUGCUUUCAACAUAGGCCUACCCUCUUUUUCCAAAACAAUGGACAAAACAAAAAGCAUUCAUAUCUAUUGACGCUCUUAAUAUGUUUCACUUUACAUAUUUUAGUGCAUUAAUUAACAUAAUUUUUCAUUGUUUUGUACAAGUGAUGCUUUUCUCCACCUUUGGGUGUAGGGUGAUUUCUUAUUUUUCUUUUUCUUCCCUUUCGUGGUGGGCCCAAUGCUUGUGCAUAUGCUAUGUUGUUGUAUAUGGUGUCCUUGCUGCACGAUCACCUGAAUGUCUUGCUUUUUUUAAUUUAAAAAAAAAAUCUCCUUACAAAGGAAAAGAGUAGGAUUUUUUUUAGUAAUUUGCAUAUUCUUGAAAAUUCAUCAAGCCAGUCAUGUUUAUAAUCUGCACAUGCAUUUUUUGAGCUGUUUGACUGCAAAUAUCGCAUUCUUCUUCCCUGUAUGGCAGGAGAGGGAGUUGGUGUUUCGGUCUCUUCGUUCCAAAAGGAUGUGGAAGUUUUUGAAGUGGAGUAUUGUGCAUUUUCUCAUCUGCAAAGGCACAUAUCGUUUGAGCCUUCACAGGCCUUUGUUGCUGAAAACUUCCAGUUGCUAACAAAGAGUGGCCAGACGGGCAUAUCUUUUCUCUUACACCUGAAAAUGAUAGAUGGUUUCUAACAACGUGAGCCUGACUCAUUCAGGGCCCUUUCAGUGGGUCUGGAUCAUUCUGCCCAGCAUAACUUUUUUUAUGUUUUCUUGCUUCUUUUAAAUCGACACAGCAGUGCCUCCCCUAGUUGCUUCUAGUCUUGUUGCUAUCGUACAUUAGAAAUUCUUCAUACGUGGCAAAAUUGCAAGACAAUUAGUCUUUCGAUGAUUUUAUUGAAGAAUCAAACCAGUUAGUUCUACAGGGCAUAAAAGUUCUGCUGUUUUCCUUGGCUGGAUAUGAUUCGAAUAAUUCUCCAGGAGUUUCUGGUUGGUUGAUAAUGGUACAAUAAAAUUCCAAAGAUUCUCAUGGUACAUUGUAGCUCCUGGUUGCUAGCACCAGGGUUGGUGAAAAUGACCUCACUGCCAUCUCCAGUUUGCUGAAAAAUAGAACAGGUUCAUAUUUUAUCUUCUUCCCAGGAAUCUAAUGAGUGAGAUGAAUAUGGUAAACUAUAUAUCGAAGAAAUUUUCUAUGUUCUUCUUUUUAUUCUGUGUGUGUAAAUGACAUGAGGUGUUUCCCUUUGUGGAAGCUAUGCUGUGUUUCAACAGAUAUUACAGCUGAUCCAUUUGACAUUGCAAUAUACUCCAAAACCUGUCUUCGACUGAAUAUUGUAUUCAAAGCCAUGUGAGCUAACCAUCGUUACAUUCUCCUCCUUGAAUGCAGACCGCUGUGAUAGAUGACAAGAAAUUAAUUCUGUAUCCCUCAUCUAUGUAUUCCACCAUGUAGCAGAAACUAUGGAGUAUGGAGUAUGUGAAGCUCCAGGUGAAACGUGCCUUGCUGUAGUUUUUUUGUUUGUUUGUUUUUUUUGCUCUGUAAAACGGAGGGUAAAGCCCACCUGAAUGAUUCUGUUAAGACGGCGAUGCAAGAGAGAGCAGAAAUAGAUACAGAGAAGACAGAGAGGUAGUAAUUAGAUGCUGCUUUGCCAUGCCUUCCCGAAAGCUUCUUACUCCAGCUGCGGAAUAAUCCAAAAGUUGUAGAGAUAAUUAUGAUCAGCAUCCAGACAUGCUCGGUGAAAUGGCACCUGAGAAACAGAUGUUUUAUGAGCCUCCCCAUCGGUAUUACAGAGAACACACAGCUGGCUUGGGUCCCCCUUGUAGGAUAUAAUUUUUCUCCUGCGGAAGGGAUGGAAGCUGGUCCUUUAAAGUACACCAGAGGGUCAUCCCAAAGUCUAAGAUUUGCUCCAUCUGCCAUGGUGAUCUUCAAGCUGCAGGAGAAGCUAUCUGAGCAAUGAAGAACAGCAUUGCUCUAGAUCUAAUUGGAAAGGACCUCAAACUGGAGGGGAAUCUACCUUAGCAAUGCAGAACAGCAUCCUAAAAGAAUGAUGCUCUAGAUAUAAUUAGAAAAGUUGAGUAAGGCCAUGUUGGCUCCUAGAAUUUCUUUUUCUUUUUCUUUUUUCUUUUUGGUCCUCCUAUCCUAAUCUUUAGAAUGCUGAACGUUGGGGUUGGUCACAAUAAGCUGAACUCUGUAGCAGUGAAACCCCAAUCUCUCUCUCUCUCCCUCCCUCCCUCGUCCCUCCCAAGUUUCUUAAAAAGCACAUGCAUGGCAUAUAUGAGAUACCGGCUCUUCGGGAGGUCUAUGUUCAAAAAUGUCUAAUUCUAUCAUAGCUAUUAAGCUUCCUCUCGCAACCAUGCUCCCGAUGCUAAUAUAUGAGAGUAUAGUUGCUUACCUUUCUGAAAAGAAAAUGUAAUGGUGAUCGAAACUCUAAAUAAAUCAUCCAUCUCCAUCAAAUUCUCUUCUACUAAGGUAUCUUUGAAUCGUUUGUUCAUACUAUCUUGUUGCCCUAGACAGAAUCACAACUAUCCAUCCAAAUUUUUUCUCAUAACAAAAAUAGGGAAAAAAAAGAAACAAACACUCACGCCCAUGGGCACAUUCGCACAAAAAGAAACUAAAACUCACAAAUACUCUCUUUGAAUCAGUUGGUUUUGUCCAUCUUAAUAACAUUAAUUAUUCAUGACAUGACUAUACUUUCUUCUCCAUCUGAUUCUAAUCAUCCAUGCAAUAAUUGAAAUUUUAGGUGGGUGAUCCACGAGCCAAUAUUUCCACUACAUUUCAGCCAUUCAUAUACUCUAUCCUAUCAUCAUUUGCAUGUGCCUUCUCUACUUUUCAUCUGAUGCCUGAAAAAUACAGUAUAACUCAAAUGGACUUUCCAUUAGAUAAGAUUAGCUAAAAGCAGUACCGUAACACUGUAACAGCAACUAACCUACCGUAUCAUAUAUCAAAACCCAUAAAAAGAAGUACAUGAAUCCAAAUCAACUUGCAUCAUCCCUUCUCUAACUCCUAGUUUCAGGAAAACAUGUAGUGGAACAAGCAUUUACCAUCUGUGUACUUGUUGGACAGAAGCUGGCCGUUCAAAAUCAUGGAUAUAAUCAUUUUAGGGUUGGCUAAACAUUAUAGCGUAAGUUGGUGAACUGGGACUUGCUUAUCAUCCGAGUCCUCGCUCAGCAGUCAUUUCUUCCACUUGUAUACAGCAAGUCUUGGGUUCAAGUCCUGAGAAAUGUUUCCCACAGUGUGCCCGUCGCCUUCUCUCCCAAGAAAAUUAUAGCAUCAGCUGGCCAGUUUAAGAUGGGGGGCAUGUGAGAAGUAUGAUUGUUAACCAGAACAACAAAGCAACUAAUUUCAGCAUUCUUCCCAUAUCAACAAUUUGAAACCCCAUAAAUCAUGUCAUAAUAAUGUCAAGAUGAUCCAAAAACAUGACAAAUCGGAUGAAACUCGAGAUAGAAUCAUCAAUAAAACACACAAACAUCAAAAAACAGUAUUAUCUGGCUAUGAUAAAACUCAGUAACAUAACCAUAGUCAUCAAGCUUUGUCGGAACUAUACGGAUCAGCUAAAAAAAUUGUCAAUACAACAGAUAUAUAUAUAUAUAUAUAUAUAUNNNNNNNNNNNNNNNNNNNNUAUAUAUAUAUAUAUAUAUAUAUAUAUAUAUAUAUAUAUAUAAAAGGUAAGAUUGAUGAAAUGAUGAAUAAAUUUCUUUCAAGACUAAGAAAGGUGAGCAAGACUUCGCUACCAUACAACAAGUUGAAGCUCCUUUUCUUGUCAAAUCCUUCAAUGAUUUUUAUGAGAUGCCAGACCGUGUGAGUACCCAAAAUAAAAUCCAAAGCUGCACGGCUUCCUCUUUAUUAGUUGCAUAAAUUGCAGGUGUGAAUAACGUAUGUUUUAUGCCAUUCUCUGAUGUUUCAAAGACCAAGAGAAAAUUGUUGGCAGGAAGUCAACAUUAAUUGUACCCAGUUUCAAAUAUUCAAAUUCUUGUUCCUGAAUCGAUCUUUGACUUCAUGUACCAUUAGACUUUGGAUUUCUUUUGAUAUAUUCUUUGUGGAAACAGAGAUGAGCACUUUUGUUAGAUGUGGUAUAUAUCCAGCUGCAACGGUGAAAGGUACAAUUGGUCUACAAUUUGCAGACAUUAUUUUUUCUCAUCACUUCUAUGAUUUCUGCUAUUGUUGAUCCAGCAGUCCCUACAAAACCCAAGGAAGCACAACUGCAAACAGCUGCCUCUAUGUAUAAUAGAAUUUCUGGUAAUGCCACUGGUUCACAAGCUUUGUUCUUAUCCGUUCCCUCUUGAUUCCUUGGAAGGUAACCAGACCUUAGCCCAUGCUCUGCUGCCAUAAGUUUCUUAGCAGCCUGCACUACCAAUUCAUCACUUUCUAGUAGUGUAUAGAGUUUGUAAGAGCUUGCAUCUUUUGCAAGGUCUGCCAAGUAAGUUCCAGUCCAAUUUACCAUAGGAAGGUCCGUCAUGACAAAAAUAUGGAUAGGACCACGAACCUUGUUUCCCUGAAGUUCCAAAUUUAAGGUUUUAAUCUUCUGCUUUACUGCUGAAAAUGUGGUCCUCCAGUGGUUCUUAAACUGCCCAUCUAGCAACCUAAGUUGGGCACAGAGAAAAGGCUCCUUUAUCUUGUUUACAGCAUAAUCCUUUCCUGCAGCCAUAAUUUCUGGGACAAAGGGAAGGAAUUCAAUUUCCUUUAGCAAUGACUGUAUCCGUGUGUCUCUUGGAGCAUCAUGGAUAUCGAUAUAAAGCUCAGAACUUUUGUAUGGUGAUGUGAAUAGGCUUCCAAAAGCCAAAAUUGUGGCUGUUUCAGCUUUCGAACCAGGUCCAAAAGCCUUGUAUACAUCUCUACGCUUCCUAAUGUAUGACAAUUUCUUCCUUUUCUGCAAUUCUUUGUCAGGCUGAAACGAGUCCAAAAUCCCAUCAUUGUCUUGUUGAUAUGUCCAUACUGUUGUCCUACAGUCAUCUUGUACAGCAUAUACACACUGAUCAAUGUUACCUUGCAAGCCAGAUAGCAAGGACCUGCAUCGGUCAAAGUUACCUGACAAAGAUCUAACCCUAGACACAGCACAACAUAAGCUAGCAAAGCAAGUGCGCUCCAUGUUUAAACCACACCAUGUUGAAGCAAAUACUCUAAAAUCAAUUAUCUUGAGCACAGAUGAUGCUAGCAAAGACAAAUCAACUAUGUCUGCCAUUGAAACAUACCUGAAAAGAUGAAACAAAACAUGUAUUAACUUUUUUAAGAACAAUCGCUGCUACAAGUACUAAGACAAUUUCUGCCAUUGAAACGUACCUGAAAAAGAUGAAACAAAACAUGUAUUAAUUUUUUUAAGAAUAAUCGCUACUACAAGUACUAAGACACUUUGUUGUUUAUUAUUAAACAGAUUAGGGCUUCCCCUUUGGACAUAAUAAGUAACAAAUUUGAUGGGCAUUGAGAAAGCAAACUUCAGCUCUAGCUAUCAGGUAUUCUCAUCAUAAUCGGCAGUCUCAGUGAGAUCCACUUAUCACUAAGCAGGUUAGCGCAUAGAUGGUGCCUGCUAUGAUUUGUAGCUUUACAAAAAACAAACAUCAUAUGUGUAUGUUUUAGGGAUCAACCUCAACAGGUACACAAACCAAUCAUGAACUUCUGGUGUCCUAUUCCAGCUGGAGUUGAAAUCACUAAAAACCCAAUGCUCUUAGCCAGAAUACAGAUAAAAUUAUAGCUUUUGUAGCUGUAACAAUCAGAUGCAGAGACUGGAUAUCCCUUUUGCAGAGGUCUUCAAGCAUUGAAAAUGAAUUUCCUGAAAUUAUUAUAACCACCACAAGAUUGAGCAGAAGAAAUAAAUAUUCACUUAAAUCAAAAUUAUCUUCCACAAAAUGAUUCAUAAAAUUUUACUCCAUGCUAUCAAGUCUUUUCAAAGUUGAUCUAAACACUACACCAUUCCUUCUAUUCUCUGCAUGUCCACUCAAAUCAGUGCAAUUGAGAUCAGUCUCCAUCUUCCUCAACCAUAUGUCAUAAUCACUCAACUAAUUAUGUAUAUAAUAAAAAUUAAGAUUCGCCAUCUCAGUACCAAACCCCGUACUGGUACUACAGUCGCACUGUAUCGGUACGAUACGGUAUGAGAUAUUAUCGGCAUACCAACUGUCGGUACGACAUCCGUACCGGGCAUCAGUACCGAACCGAUAUGGUACAAUACACCCCAUACCGCCUAGUUCGGGCCUGUAUGUUGAACCAUGAUAAAAAUACUUUAGAUCAAAUCUUUUUCAGUCCUACGCUUCUUCUUUCCUAGAAGUUAGAUAGAUCAAGGUAGCACUCAUCUAAGUGCAGGUUGUUCCUAUUGAUAUAACAACCAUUUCAUGCAUGUUAAAUAAGAAUGCAGACAAUAUUUAGCAAUGUGUUCUCCUCUUCCAUGACUAACAAAAUGGAUCACACAUCUAACUCUCUAAAUUGUCUCCAAAAGAUUCAACCACAACCUUGAGCAAACUGUUAGAAUGCUGAAUCCUCAUCGAAGUCACCACCAAUGUGACAGUUUCUCAUAAACAAUAUAAUUCAGGACUUGCUUCUUUUGACCAAGUUGUUUUACGACUGCUGGAAUCUCUCUAUGCAAGAAGGAAGGCAAUGCCCAUUGGAGUUUACCAGAGACACAGCACUGCUCUUAAUUCCAACCACUAUAGCUAAAAAGGAAAGAAACAUAACUAUUAAAAGAUAAAAAAAAUACUUUCAAAGGUUAAGCUCAAUUUCUACUGCUGCAAUUCCAACUCAAGCAGGCCCUUAGAUGACCAAUAAAUCCCAAGAGCAUGCCUAUGCAAGAGGCUGCUUAGCCACAAGUGACCAGACCCUGAUGCACAUGACAAAAAUUAAGUUAAAUUGGCUGAUAGGCACCCAAAUAUUUCUGUUGCACCAACUAGCAAGUUAGAUGGUCUAGAGUCGCCAAACUACACAACCAUGCCUAGAUUGCUUGCAAGUAGGUGAAUCAUCAUCGCUAGCAUGGUCACUGCCCAUUAAAGCAUUAGAUACAAGCAUAAGGCAUAUAAAACAGGGGCUUCCACUGAUUGGCUCCUUGAUUGGGAAAUAUUAUAGAUAUGAGAAUCAAAAGAAAGUAACCUUGAUAAGUUUAAACCAGAAGGACCCAAAAUAAGAAAAACUAAGAGGGUAAUAUACCUUCCCCUCCUACAUCUGAGCUUUCCCAGCUGGCACACUCUUGCCAUUCCUCAUCUUUUUAAUUUGCAUGCAUUGCUUCUCUUCCUUAUUUUUCAUUCCAUUCUAUGUUAACGCCCUCCACCCAUCUCUUCUAUCUCAAGUUGUCCUACUGACUCUUACCCUCUCCAUUCUUUCACUUAGCUUCUACAGCUCUUCGGUCAAUCCACCACUCUAUUAAUGCCUAAUUAAGUUUUCCAGAUAUUAAAAAAAUCCUUGUUUUAUAUAAAAUUCACAGUUCUCUCUCUGCCUGCACAAUGACUGACACCUCUGUCACAAUAAUAGAUUUGUGCUAUAAAUCUGAUGAAAUGACAUAAAAACUCCAAAGAACAUCUAUGAGGCAACAAAUAAAGACAAUAUUUUGGUGGAUAAACCAGUCAUAUUGGAGAUAAGCAACUAACUUUGAUUAAUUCAAAAACAAAGAGCACUUUUUUACCUGCAACAUACAAUGGCUAUGAAGUAAUUGUGCUCCACUAUAUACUUAAUCUUCACAUGCUCCAAGUGAGUCAUCAAAUUUCAAUUAGAAGAAGUAUAAAAUGCCCUCUAUUCGUUAUUUUACAUGUGCACAAUCUUUCCAAAUCUGUAAUCCUUUUUUAAUCAGGCAGAGAACCAGGCAAUUCAAACAUCUAUACAUGCCAGAUGGAAGAAUGGAAACAGUUAGAAGAUAAAUGUAAGCCUACAAGUAAUUUGAUUUAAAGGUGACGCGCUAUUCAAGAAGCACCCCAAAAAAAAACAAUAACGAAUCCAAGUAUUUCAGAAAUCAUGAAAAGCAAAUAUACUACUUAUAAAAACACAGUGGAGCUGCUUUGAGAAAAUAUUUUAGCGAACCCAUGGGAACUGCUCUAAGGAAGAUCCCUCCAAAGCAAAUUGAAUUUGUUAAGAAUUCCAAUAAUUUCUCUAUCUAGAGAAUGUUAAGUACCUGCAAUUAUUACAUACUCGACUAGUUCAUAAAGAAAAGCACCAAAUUGGGAAGGGUUCAACAAACCAAAUAACACUAUCUCCAUUGACUGGCCAAAGAAAAUAUUAUCCUUGUCAUUGUGGUGUUGUAGGCUAAAUCAAGCCUCCUGCUUCCACUCUAUCUCCACCACUCCCAAUAACUUAAUCCUGAAAAAUAAUUAAAUUAAUUUUAUCUUACUUCCUGCUAUUAAAACUUGUUACUGCAUAUUGACCCAGUGAAUUUCCUUAUCCUGACCCAAUUUUUAGUUUGCAGAACAAACAGCUGUUCUGUAAAAUCAUAGUUUAAGUGACUCCUAAUAGUGAUAUAUAUACUUCUUCCAUCGUGGCACCCAAUUGGUACCAAUUUGAAACCGAGUUUUAAGACAUCAUACAGUUUCCAAUUAAUCAGUAACCCAUAUAAUCAUCUAUCAGUUAGUCUAAGCCAAGUUUCAUGGCUAGUGGCUUGAAAAAGAAUUCGAUAAUAUUUCCAAAAAAAAAAUCUACUAAUUUGAUUUUGGCUUUCUUGUCAAGAUCGUUCCUUUCCCUCCUUUUUCCGCACAUGUAAGAGAACAAAAUUAACCGAAACAGCUUGAAGGAUCAAAACAAUUGAAAAUUUCACUACAUUUUAAAAAAAUCCAAAUCAAAGGAACACACCUCCGAGCUCUAACGAGCUCCAUGAUGUGAUCCCACACCGCGGUGCGGAGCUCGGUGGGGCUGGCGACCCUGAACUUGGGGCAGCUCCCCAGGGCGACGGCAUGGUGGUCGAGCACCGGAGGCACGAUGAGGGUGCGGUUGAGGAUGGCAGCCAUGAGAAUGGCGUUCUUGAGCUCGGAGAGCUGGUUGCUGAAGCCGCUGUGGGGAGCGUACCAGAGGAAUCUCUCGCCGGCGAGGGCCGGGGCUCCGCCGGCGCCGCAUUGCGGGGAUCGAGCGUCUAGGGUUUCGGCGGGGAGAGGGGCGGAGAAGGGGAGGAGAGAUCGAAGGAUCUCGGCGUAAGAGGAGAGGAAGACGGCAAGGAAGAGGAGGAGGAGGAGGAGGAGAAGGGAAAGAGAAAGGAGGAAGAGGGGUUUGUUCCGUUGGCUUCGCUUCCUCCAACGGCUACGGCUCACUGACCAAUCCAUGUCUCCCACCUUGGUUCCUCUGCUGCUAGACUUCUGGAAAUUAUGGGGAGGAGGUGUUUUGCGAGGACAAGGGUUUUUUAUAUGGGAAUUUGAUCUACGAUUCCCAAAUAUUUGUUUACAUUUGGUCUCUUAGCAUGAUGGAGUGAUUGAUGUUGCAACUUAGGCCGGUUUGAUUUUCCUAUAUAGAAUUGAUAAAUUAGGUCGGUAUAACUAGCAUGCAAGAUCGCAGACUAUAAACUGGGAUAUAUAAAAUAUCCAUAAAUAGCUUUGGAGUGGACUAGCCUGAAUCUCAGAGAGAGAGGAAAAAAAAAAAAAUCUUAAGUGGAUAUUUUAUGAGUAUAGCCUGUGAUUUUGUUGAUUGUACUAGCUUAAUCCAUAAAUUCUACGAAAUUUUCAACCCAAUUUUAUAGAAAAAUCUAAAUAAACCCUAGUAUGCCAUACAUCCACUAAAGUUGUCAACCUCCAAAUAUAUAUACAUACACACACAUACAUGUAUACAUAUACAUAUAUAUAUACACACAUAUACAAAAUGUAUACAUAUAUAUACACACACAUAUAUAUGUAUAUUGGACAUCCAUUUAAGCAUGACUCUAUCAACAGAACACCUCCUAGCCUAAAUUCUAUGAGCGGAAAAAAAAAUCAUGGAUCUUUUUUUUUCCGUUUUUUAAAUGCUAAGAUUUGUAUAUGUUCUUAGAAAGUGCGAGCUAGAUGGACCAAUAGGUUUGAUUUCUAUAGAAUUUUCAAUCCAAUCCUAUAAAAAUAUCCCGAUAAGCCAUUGGAACAGAUAUAGAUAUGUAUGAAUAUAUUCACGAGAGCCGGAUGCAUAAUUCCUAAGAAAAAAUCUAGAAGAACAUAGUUAGGAUCCCACAUAGGAUGCAGCCUAGUUUGCAGCAGCAUUCACUUCUCUUUAAAGUUUUGAGAAGAUUUCACCAAUCUGGAAAACUCCUACGACGAUAAUAAAAGGAGACUUGCAUUCAAAUCUUGUUCUAUCGAGAUAUUGGGGCCUGACCAAGUGCUCUAUAUUCGAGUCCAACAAGAGCAGUAAACUAGACUAUUCUCCAAUCAAAAAGAUUAAUGGAUUAAAAAAUAAGAUUUCGAUAUCUGGAAUCGUAGUCAGACCCCGCUUUAAGUUGUCACUAUUGUUUGUUGCGUUGCAUUCAGUCGUUGCUACUUGGAAGAUUGGCCGUAGAGUAUCUAACAAAGACGGAAGGGAUGGAUGAGCUCCUAGUUUUGAAAUCGAUAAGCUCCUAGAUUUGAAACCAUUUCUAGUAGGCUGUGCAAUCUAAAAGGUGAGCCAAUAGUCCUGUCAAAAGAUUCUUAUUUAUGCUUCUGAUCAAAACACACGGUAUUAUGCAAAAACGUACGUUCACUAUGAAACUUUUUUUUUUCCAACCAUCUUCUGAAUAUUUUUGGUAAGUUGGUUAUUUUGACUUCUUUGAGCCAUUGUAUGAUGAAACUGCAACAUGCUUUUUAUUCUUUAUAUCAAAUUUAAAAAUUGAUUUGAUUGCUCUAUAAUUUCUCGCAGCUAGACCGUAUGCUACAUUUUUAUCAAAUUGAUCUAUAAUAAAAAUAUUUAUUUUGAUGAAAAACUCAGCCAUUUAUACUUCAUUCACUUGCACCUAUGUGUCAACCACUAGAAUGAGUUUAGAUAUGCCAUUGGCAUCCCCUACUAACUUAUGAUUAGGGCUGCAAACGACCGGGUUGACCCGUGACCCGUCCGACCUAAUCCGUAUAAGACCCGACCCGACCUGAAUUUUAGGACCCGCAGGGCUGGGGUCGGGUCCUAAAUUUGGACCCGUUCUAUUUUUCGGUUCAGGUCGGAUCCACUCAAUUUUGACCCGGACCCAGAUCCGAGCGGACCCAAUUUUUUGGUUCAGUUUUUGACUAUUAUAUCGUGGAACUUUGAAUAUAAAAAUACAUAGAUCCGGACCCAACCCAUCCCGUGACCUGUCGGGUCAAAAUUUAUAGGCAUGGAUCCGACCCGAUCCGAUCCGAUUUUCAACCGGAUCGGGUCUGGGUCCAAAAUUAAGACCCGAAUAAGAUCCGGGUCGGAUCAGGGUCGCUCAGGCCCCGACCCGACCUGACCCAUUUGCAACCCUACUUAUGUUAUGCUACUUUCCUUUUGAUUAGGUAAAAUGUAUGAGAUUAUCUUGUUAAAGAUUGGGCCAAAAACUUUAGCAACCAAGUUGAAGUUUCCAUGGCAAAUUAGUAAGUCUUACUUAGGAUCUUUAGCUAGAAGAUUUCUUGAAGGUUAUGGAAAGUUUCAUGAUUGGGAUUUUAGAACAAUUAAGAUCAACGAAUAUAGUUUAUCUUUUAAUCAUCUUAAGUUGAGAUUGUAUUAAUUUUAACCUAAUAAUGUAAAUGUUGUGCAUGAAGAAGUAACCUUGGGAGCAAUGUACAUGGUCAUUUGUGAGAUAUAUAAAGAAAUGGAUCAAGUUAAAUUGUUGACGUAAUUGAUUACAAGACACCAAGACCAUAUCUUGAUUGAAGUUCAAAACUUGGGUCUAGGCAAUUUUACAUUUGCAAAUAUGUUGCAAAAAUAUAAUAUUUAGAUAUUAUUUGAAGCUUAAUAUGCUGAAGUUUGGGUUUGAGUUGAUAAAAUGAUGAACUUAAGCCGAGUAGUGUGGGAGCUCGACAGCCAACCUCUGCCAAUUUACACAUGAUUACAGUUGAAAAUGCGCAUGGCAAGGAUGUUUUUAGGUUACACUUUGGACCUAGUCCAAGAAUGAUCACGAUCACGAUGGAGCCUGAAAAGUAAGGCUUGAUUCAAGUGGAAUCUAGAAGAAAAUUUUCGAAUCUAAACCUGGCUCAUAGUAUUAGAUUUUCUUCCAAUAUAGUCUGCUCCAGUUCCAGCCCUGAAUAUGAUAUAUAUAUAUAUAUAUAUAUAUAUAUAUAUAUAUAUAUAUAUAUACUAGUAUANNNNNNNNNNNNNNNNNNNNNNNNNNNNNNNNNNNNNNNNNNNNNNNNNNNNNNNNNNNNNNNNNNNNNNNNNNNNNNNNNNNNNNNNNNNNNNNNNNNNNNNNNNNNNNNNNNNNNNNNNNNNNNNNNNNNNNNNNNNNNNNNNNNNNNNNNNNNNNNNNNNNNNNNNNNNNNNNNNNNNNNNNNNNNNNNNNNGAUGUUCAUGACCAAUCGGAUCCUGAUAUACCAGUAGAUACCAAAGGAGAUCGCUAUGAUCGUUACUGUAUCCGUAUCGAGGAGAUGCGACAAAGUGUUCGGAUCAUUGUGCAAUGUCCUAAAAAAAGUAAUUAUAUUUGCAUUUGUUGAAAAAAAAAAUCUUUCCUCGUAAUUAUAUUGGUUGACCUGAAAUUAAGCUACUUUGGCCUAGUUUUGUUCUAUUGCACUAAGAUGCAGAUGCUCCUUUGUAGAGAUUGAAGAAUAUAACAUGCGAGGGGGAGAAAAUAAGAGAAAUAUGAAAUGGUUCCAAGUCCAAAUAUUUCCCAGAUUUGCGUCAUCUUUUUUUUUAUGUUAUUUAGAGAAAAAUAUGUACAAAUCCAAAAUUCUAAAACAUGCUACAUUAUGAAUGAAAGGUUUUGCCAUCCAAUAAGGCAUGAUCUUCGGUACCUUUUGCUUUGUGUAGGUUGCGUGAUUCAGAUGGAGCUAGCUGUACUCAUACUAUAGCAGUGUGAGCAGACGAUUCACCAAAGAAAAAACAUAAGACAUGAUCAUAGUAAACAUGGUAUAUCCUUGGCACCAUGAACUUGGGAAUCCACUCCAUUUAAAAUUUAUUUUGCCUGGUCCCGUCUUUUUAUAAUCUAUACUACUAAAACAAAAUAAUUUUAAAAUUAAAUUCGGAAGGCAGGUCAUGUUCGGAGUCCAGGUCCUCUGGAGUUUGGCAUUGAUCUUGGAAUGACCGAUUCAGCGAUCACAGUCAUCCAUGACUGUCGUUCAUGGUGGGACCAUCCUAAUUACAUUAUACUAAGACGAUGGGAUAGCAUACUGCAUAGGCUCAUGCAAUCACCAUGGACGUCCCGAUGAAUUAACCGAUUUGGAUCCGAACUCACUUUCUGCAGUGGGUCGGACUAAGGCGAACUCAUAGAAGGAUCUUCUUCCUUUCUAUUUUGUCUUUGAGGUUUUUCUUACGGUGGGCCUUCUUUGGGCUGGAGCCUUAAGCGACUGCCUAAGUUGCCUAAGGAAUGGGCCAGCCCUGGCUUUCUGAAGCACCGGACACGCCUGAUAAUACUUUUUCAGCAAGUCCUUUCUCGUCGCACUUGCUGCGCUGAACUUGGCUUGAUGGGCGUCUGAACCGGCCAAAAGCAGAAUCGGAGAGAAUAAAGGAGAAACCACCAGCCACCUCAGGUGAAUCAAACUCAAAAGAAUUGGAUCGAGUUUUUUUGGAACCGCUUCCUCAAAACCAAUUUUAAUAGUAGCAUACUGUUGGGGGAAAAACCCCAAGUCAUACCGCCACGGAGGCGCUCGGCCAAAGAGCGCCGACCAGGAGGACACUCGACUAAAGGGCGCCGACCAGAGAGAGAGCGCCAAGAGGCGACCAAUCAAAAUAACCAAGUAGAGAUGCUCGGAUAGGAAGAGCCGACCAGCGAACGCUGACCAGAGAAGCGCUCAAUUNNNNNNNNNNNNNNNNNNNNCAUACCAUAUAGAGAUAUUUAGAUGGAGUGGACUUUGUUGGCAAAAGUGCUAAUGUUGCAUUCAUAGCUAUAGACGAUGUUGCAUUCAUGAGAGAAACUGAUUUAUGCCACAGACUUUAGGGACUCUAUGACGAUUAUCAAUGAUUUGUUGAUUUAUCUCGCGUUGAAUGGUGAGUAUGUCUAUUUCUAGGAGAAUGAUGCAAUCAUUAUUAUCUAUUGGGUUCUGCCAAUUGACGGCAUCUUAUCUUUUUUUUUUUGUUUGAUCCUUCUGUUCAACCUUAUAAUAUUUUAUUUUAUAAUUUUUUGAUUAAUUUAGAUUAUCUUAUUUAAUCAAAAAAAUAUUGGAAUCAGGGAGGAUCCGAGAAGUUAGUUACGAAGCCACCCAUCACGUCGGACCUGAUUAAUUCCUGCACACAAAUCACGGGCGGGCUUCGACAAUUGUACCAAUCACGGUCACGGAAUAUGAAAGGGGUUCGGCCACAUCCACUCCACGCAAAGAAAACAACAGGCGGACGGUCCGUUGGAAAGGGCACAACCCCGCCGCUAUCCACGGCUUGCCUUCCAUCACCCAUUUGCCUCUUCCCCCACCGACUGCCAGUUGCGUUCCCACGACGAUGGCCCAGCGAUAGCUCGUCUUUUAGCCGAUUGCACGGCAUCAAGCGUAUUGUUUCGGAUAUUAAUCUCUCAUAUCAUUCAUAAAAUUGCUAGUUGUGGAGGAAUGGAAUUCCAAUGAUAGAAAAAAGUUAUAAAAAUUAUAGAAAAAAAAUCAUAUAAUGGGAAUAUAGAAAUUAUGAAACUAAGAUAAUUAAAUUUAUCCUUAUGUUUUGGUAGAUAUUUAAUAAUUAAAAUAAGAAGCUAUUGAGGUGGUAGCCUAGUGGAAGCUUGACCUUACUUCCAACCAAAUGGUUCUGAGUUCGAAACGCACGGGUGUCAAUUAAAUUGUGGAGACCAGAUGCAUCAUGCUCGGACACGGAGUCUGGAAGGGCGUAUCGCUCUGCUGGUAGCCUCGAUGGUAUCAGAUGUGACGUACUCACACGUGGUAUUCGUGUCGAAGCCUAGAGGGAUAAUCGAACCAAGCCCAUGGGUGAGGAGGAUAUGAGCAAAACCGGCCGAAAUGCCCAACACAUGGUCAUUUCUGGCUGCAUCAAACAUUUUCCUGGUGGGAUGGAGGCUCAGUGGAAGCUGCUAUGCAGGGACCCCCCCCCCCCCCCCCCCCCCCAACCAAAAAAUAAAAAAAUUAAAAAAUAAUUAAAAUAAGAAGGAAGUGGCGAGAUAUUUGUUCCCGGAAUCCCUAAUAAACCGGAUAUUGUCCNNNNNNNNNNACCCAAGCUGAUCGCAGUCCAAUUGUAACCCGCCGCACCCCCCUCCGCGCGCUCCCAUUGAAACCAAGACUUUUCUCCCUCUCCCGGCUGCCGGUUUUCUUCUCCGGCGACGAAAUCUAUGGCAUUGGGGAGCGAAACGGGCGGUGGCUACAACGGGAGGGUGACUGUGUUCGUCGUCCUCUCCUGUAUAGUUGCGGCCAGCGGAGGACUCCUCUUCGGCUACGACCUCGGCAUCUCAGGUUUUGUAUCCCCGCUCCCUCUCCUCCUCCUCCUCCUCCCCCCUCAUCACCACAUCAACAUCAGCCUUCCAUUUGUGUUCUUGGGAAACGGGAAACGAUUUCCAAGACCGAGCUGGAAAACGCCCACGGUUAAACGCUACAUGGCGGGCUGCUGCUCCCGUCCUCACACCUAUCCCAUAUUCCCUCCAGCUCGGCUUUUGUUCUUUAGCUCACUCGGGCUGGUGCGUCUUGGUGAAGGUGGCGUGAGCACCAUGGAGGGAUUCUUGGAGAAGUUCUUUCCCGAGGUAUACACUCAGAUGAAGGAGGACGCCAAGAUCAGCAACUACUGCAGAUUUAACAGCGAGCUCCUGACGGCCUUCACGUCUUCGCUCUACGUUGCUGGGCUUGUGGCGUCCUUGUUCGCUUCGCCGAUCACGCGGGCGUUCGGUCGAAGGGCAUCCAUGCUCAUCGGAGGGGCCAUGUUCUUGGCUGGCGCGGCAUUGGGCGGGGCGGCUGCCAACGUUUAUAUGGUUAUCUUUGGCCGCGUCCUGCUUGGUGCGGGCAUCGGGUUCACCAACCAGGUGAUCGGAUUGCUCUGCCUUUCGUUUUGUGACUCUUUACACUCAAACUAUGUUUAGAGAUUUUAGAUUCAAAUUAUGUCUUUAUGAUUUAAAAUAUCGAAGUUUAAUAAUUUCAACGAGUAUAGAAUACUAUGAUUUUUCAGGACAUCCAUAUAGAUAAAACCUAAAGCACCUGUAAGAAUUCGCUAAUAGAUAGGCAUGCUUACGACACCAGUCACACCAUCAAAAGGGAUUAGCAUGAAUCUCAUGAUUUCACAAUUUAGUGUCUUGCAUAUGCCUGCAAGACUGGGCUAAGGCUUUGGGAUCUAAUUUAGCCCCAUCCAGAGAAUAUAUUUAUAGACAUCGGUUAUUUGCUGGAAAAUGUAGUCCUAAACAAAAGGGUUAAAUCACUCAUGGUAGUUUUAUCUGACGUUAUAUGGAGCUAGGGGGGGAAAUUGGGUGUUUUCAACUUUAAAGAUGUUUAUUUUGUGCCUGAAAAAAAAAAAAAGAAAGUAGGCUGCAGAACGAUGCUCGACAUGGAUGAUUUCAAUCAUUAUAUGAGGAGGUCAUUAGAGGUGAAAAUGGGUCAAGUCUAGUUAGGUUUGCUUGAAUCAAGUUAGGAUGAUAAUAUAUGCAAUCUUGAUCCCUAUGUAGUCUGAUGAAACAUUUAGUUGAGGCAUUUGAUCCAUAUCCAUUCACCAAUCAACUCCCAUCAUCCAGAAAAUCUAAUCGACUCAUACUUGCUAUAUCGUACAUUGCCCGAAUCCCAACCAACCUAAGUCAAUCACUUUCAACCCAACUCGACAGUAAAUUACAUUACAAAAAAGAGGAUUCAAACCCUAUCCCUAUUUCAAAUAAUUUAAAGGAUCACUUAUUGUUUACCAAUUAGAAAAAAAAGAGGGGGAGAGAGAGAUUGGCCAUUCUUAAAAUAUCUCUAUGGUCAUUAUCUGGCCUGACCUAGAUAAAUUAUUUCCUCAUGAACCUUAAUCGAUUGAGGCUCUGACCUAUAUCCGUUCUUAGUUGAAAAAGCUUUUACUUAAACUUGGUCUAAAUAGGAUCACAUCAAGUCAUGUCAUGUCACUUUUGAAUUCAGGACUAAAAAUUUGUUAGGUUGAGCUAUUUCUUUUGAUCAGACCGAAAAGAAGAAAGAUUUUUCUCAACCCGCACAAAUUGAAUCUCUUAAAAGAAAACUAAAAAAAGAUGGAAGAAUUGCGAAAAUAAGGUUUAAAUCCUAUGGAUCUUCCCAGAUCACCCUUGCUCCAUCCUAGCUUAGAAAUUAUUUUCGAGCUUUGAUUUGGGCCUAGUUGGGCUUGAAAAAUCUAUAUAUAACUCAGCCCGAACAAGCUAGAACCUGAACUUGAGUCCAAAUAAAGCCUGUGCAUGCUUGACUUGGAUGGAGCACAAGUAUGCUCAACACAAAUCAGGCCACAUUCGGCCUGACCUAAUAAAAGGGAGGAAAGAAAAAGGGGAUCUGGCACCCCAUUGCAGCACCGCCUCCCCCUAUUGACUUUAGGAGAGGAAGCAAUUGACGAGACGGAGGGAUGGAAGGAUGGGCGAGAGAGAGACCUAGUUGUGUACCAUGCCAUCUACUACAACCAUUGUCCACCCUAGAGAGGAGAGAAGGGGAUUGAAAUGCGAGAGCAGAGAAGUGGGAGUGGUGUCUUGUGCCAUAUGCCAUAGUUCACUUGGGAGAGGAGAAAAGGGGAUAGAAAUAAGAGAGGAGAGAAGGUGGAGCAGAGUGCUCAGUCCACCUAGUUGAGGUUUAUUGUGUCCGAUUUCCUCUUCCUAGCUAUGAAUUCAAUUCAAUCUAAAUUUAAGAAGCGCUGAAUAAUUGUGAUGAAACACUGGAGGAGGAAGAAAUGGGGACAUAAAAAGAGCGCUUCUGUUCACUCAGGUCAAUGUCAUGAGAGGUCGGGCUAAGAGUCGGGUCUUGGCCCAGCCGGGACAAUCCGAAUCUGGCCCAAUUUUUUAGGCUCAAAUUUCAGGUCCAAGCCCAACAAAAUUCUGCUCGGGACAAGUCCAAAGCCUAACUAGAAGCUGACCUAGCCUGUGCCCAUUUCUGGCCUUGCUUAUAAUUUGUCCAAAAAGGCUUCCUUAGUGCACAAUCUUCAGGUCCUAAGAAAGGACUAUGCAAUCCCUUAGAGCUUGUAUAAUCUUUAUAUAAGAGCUAUAUUAUUGUCAAUAUUUCCUUUUGAAGCCAUUCCAAUACAAAGUUUACAAUGCUCACACUCAAGGGAAAAUGAUCAAGAGCAUGGCUAUGUAGAGGCGUGAUGGGAUGUAUUCAAAAGGAAAUGCUAGAAAAAUAUUAAAAAAUCCAUGAAAAUUCUAUGUGAGUGCUCAGAAGAAAUAACAUUUUCCUUGAGAAAUCAAGCUUAUUUUUAGGACUCAAAAGAAAUUAAAACAUUUACACAAUUAUUCAAAUUUGUGCUUUGUAGGGAUAGAUGACGCUCUUCUUCUUAGUCUCUUUCUAUGCCAUGGAAGGUAAAUAUUGCAAGAAUUUCAAGUUAUUUUCAAGGACGGAGAUAUGGGGCUUGGAGUGCAGUUGCUUAGAGAUCUGCCACUUGGAGGGUAUGCUUAGGUAUUAGUAUGGGGCAUUUACACAUGCUCCCCGGAGAAUUCUGUUGUUUGUAUAUUUAUUCUUAAAAAUAGAUAUUGCAUAUAUUCCUGUUGAAAGCUUAUAAUGCGCACAUACUCUUUACAUUGUUUUUGAUUUUAAUCCUGAUACUCUAAUCUAAGUUUGGCUGGAUAAAAAAUUCAAUUAGCUUAUCCAUUGACUAUUUUACCCUAAAAUUCCAUAUAACAUUUUAAAAAUUUAUAGCAAAUAUCUAAAAUUCUUUGCUAAUUUUUAUGUGUGUACUGUUACUUUUUGAUUUGGAAGUUAAUUAAUUAAACAUUUAUUGAAGAGUUUAUGUGUAAAUAUUCUUAAAUGAAUAAAAUGGUACUACUUCAGUAUAUCAUCUGAUCGCAAGGAUAUAAAUGCAAUUUCCAGAUCUUGGAGAACCAUACAAACUUUCAAGAACUUGUUUAUUUGCAUGUGCACUAUCCUUUGAGGAUCUUUCCAUUUGACAUCUAUGUAGCCUUAUGUUUUUUUGAGAUUUAUAGCAAAUUGCAUAGUGGAGUGCCCUUGGCAUAGCGUGAACAGUAGAAUUAUUAGUCUUUUUUUGUUCUUGGAUACAUGGACUUAUUAGCAAGCAACAAUCUCACAAAAGUUCAUUUUGUUCCAGUCAAUUCCAUUAUACCUAUCAGAAAUGGCUCCACCUCAACACCGUGGAGCAAUCAAUAAUGGUUUUGAAGUUUGUGUUAGCAUCGGAAUUCUUGUAGCUAACUUCAUCAACUAUGGAAUUAACAAGACGCAAGCCAGAUGGGGUUGGAGAAUCUCUCUAGCCUUGGCUGCAGUUCCUGCUUCCUUUUUAACUGUUGGUACCGUUUUCCUCCCUGAGACACCCAACAAUAUUAUUCAGCGCAAUGGCGACCUCCAUAAGGCAGAGCAGCUGCUUCAAAAGAUCCGAGGCACCACUGAUGUUAAAAAAGAGCUUGAUGACUUGAUUUCUGCUGGCAUUAUCGCGAAAGGCAUUCAUCACCCUUUUCGAAAGAUCAUUCAACAGAAGUACCGCCCUCAGCUUGUGAUGGCGUUCUCAAUCCCCUUUUUCCAACAAGUUACUGGGAUUAAUGUGAUUAACUUCUAUGCGCCAAUUAUGUUUCGAACCAUCGGGCUAAAAGAGAGUGCUUCUCUCAUGUCAGCAAUAUUGACAAGGCUAGUUGCUUUAAGUUGCAACAUCCUAGCAAUGGUGUUAGCUGACAAAUUGGGUCGGCGAACUCUGUUUUUAACUGGAGGGAUUCAGAUGUUUUUGUCACAGAUAAUAGUUGGUGGAGUAUUGGCAGCGGAGUUCAAAGACUAUGGAGGAAUGAGCAGAGGCCAGGCUUAUUUGGUAUUGGUCAUCCUUUGUGCUUUUGUAGCAGGUUUCUCAUGGUCUUGGGGGCCUUUGGGAUGGUUAGUCCCAAGCGAAAUUUUCCCGCUGGAGAUUAGAUCGGCAGGGCAGAGCAUUGUGGUAGCAGUGAACUUUUUGGCAACUUUUCUUGUUGCUCAGUCUUUCCUUCCGAUGCUUUGUCAUCUGAAGUCUGGAACUUUCUUCUUCUUUGGGGGAUGGGUUGCUGCCAUGACCUUGUUUAUAUAUAUGUUCUUACCAGAGACUAAGAAUGUGCCAGUUGAGCAAAUGGAUCAAGUAUGGAAGAAGCAUUGGUUUUGGAAGAAGAUAAUUGGGGAUGAGAAAGAGGAAAGCAAGGGGAAUGCAACGAGCACGACAAAUUCGCAUCAGUAAGAAUUGUUCAUUGUAUGCUAAAAUCUAAAAUGGUCUUAUCUUAUCUUAUAUAAUCUGUAAAUUAAAGAUAUCAAAGCUAGAAUUCGUUCUGGUAAUCAAAUUUUCUCACUCCAUUUAAUAGGUAAACUUCCACUUUUUCUGCCAAUUAUGGACAUGCAGACCAACGGAAAGUUGUUGGUAGUAAUUUACCUGAAUUUGAUAAUGAUUAAUAGUUUACUCAGGGGUGGUUGGAAUUUUAAUGCACAUUUCAUGAUUUUCUUAGUGAAGUCAGUUUGUAGAAUAAAAUAUCUAGCAUACAUGGUGUCACAUCUCAUGAAUAUAUUGAUAGUGAAAUUAGUUGAUCUCUAGAAAACCAUUUGAGAAUUCUUUAGUUUAAUUUGAUGUCCUUACAGGAGAUCAUGAUAAUUUAACAUAGGAAGGCGGCGGCGGUGUUGUUGAUCGUCAAUUUCGUCUUCAUGGUCAAAAUACGAGCGGGCAUGCCACCGUGCGUGUUUGAAUUUGGAACCUCUCCUCAGAGCAAGGCACUGGCAAUUUCAUGAGGUUCGGUGUUUUUUUGUAUUGGCCAUGAUCAUCCUAUGGGUUUCUGGUAGAUAAUAAGCAUGCAAGGAAGGAUUGACAAGAUCACCUGACUAAUUGAAUAUUUAGUCAUAUCCUAGGUAGUCAAGUGCUUCUUGAUACAUAAUAGACAUGUUAGGAAGGAUAAGUAAGAUCACCUUGACAAAUCAAAUUAACAAGAAGUAAAUGCGACCGUAUAAAUAAUAUACUUUUCUAUGUAUUGAACAAGAUGAAUGUUUGAUUUACAUGCAUGCUGAUACCAAGCCCCUUUAUAGCUUGUGUUGAUGCUCAGCUCGUGUUGAUUUCUUUCAAGCAGGUUGGAGGGUAUAAAGAAACAACAUGAAAUGAUGAAAAAUGUCCCAGGAGAUGGAAGAGUUUAUGAUGGAAGGGUUUAUUAAUCCAAUUUCCCCAUAAUCCUGUUUGACCAAACAAAAAUGCAAACCGUUCUAUACUUUUUCCUAGGAUAAUAUAAUGCUGUACUUGGCAUAUAUGUAUCAUGGAGAAAAUAGAAUAACAACUAUCUAUUAGUUGCUUUUUGGAUCUAGUUUUUUCAUGUUUACAUAGCUAGUGGUAUUUCAGCUCAUUAGUUGACACCUCUCUACCUAGUGCUUGCCCAAGGUUUUAAGUUUGAUCAUAUAGAAGGUCGAGCUCCCACCGUAGUUCUUAGAAAAAGGCAAAUCAAUACUUAUAUGAUCAGGUGAAGCUAGUGCGUGCGAUAAAUUAAUACAUAUAUGAUCAGGUGUAAAAGGGUAGGUGAAAGCCACUACUUUCCAUGAAAAUAAGCUCGGGAAUAUAAAUAGGUUGACCUUGACAAAGCACCCUAAAAUGUAACAAUAUUUUAAUUUGAUAAUUAAUGGUAUUGCCUAUCUAGAACAAGGAAAAUUUGAGCAUGAGCAUGUUAUGUGCAUGCAUAUUGCAAGAGCUGAAUUCUGCAUAUAGUCUUGUACUCAAUGAUCUCUGUGGUCUAAUGGCUGCUUUAAUUAUGGAAUGCUUCACAUAUACAUGGUCAUAAUCUCAUUGAAAAUGUGUAGAGGCAAUGAAGUUCUACAAAAAUAGCUGAAUUUGAAAAAAAAAUUCUUUAGAUGUCUAUUCUUCCCCUUAAAUUCACAAAUCAAAGUUUACAAUCUUAGAAGGAAAAAAAAAGAAACAAUUUUCUAGAAAUAAAUGCAAUUUUAAACAUCAUUUUAUGCUUCAAAAAUGCCAAUUUGGAUUAAGCAAGUAGACUUAUAUGUUAAAUGCAUAUACAAUAUAUAUGGUGGAGUAAAGUGUCAUUGUAUGAUCAAGAUAAGCUUAAACUAAUGGUACAUUAUGACAAAGUAGUCUUUUACCGGCAAUUAAAAGUACUGCUAAAGAAAAUGCACUAAUAAUUAUGGUGGCUUCAUGCGACUGUCUAUCAUUUACCAUUAUCGCCAAUUAUUGCUAAUAGCAUUACUGGUCUCAUGUUAAAAUGUUAUAGCUCAGUAAAAUUGGAUAGUUAUCCAUACACGAUGACAUACAUUACAGAUAUAUGAAAACAAUAUCCCUUCUACAAAACAUUAAUGUCAUGCCUCAAAUCCAACAUAGCCAUGCUACCGAGGGGUACAACAUGUGAUAACAUGAAACGAACAUUAUAUUUAGAUUUCAAAUACAUCUUAACUUCCAAAUUCAUCUAAAUAAAUAAAUAAAUAAAAGUUCAAUUUUAUUAUUCAUUAAAUGCAACCAAUAUUUCAGAGCAUCUACAUCAAACAUAAAUACCAAUCUAUAAUUUUCAAUAUUUAGAAAAUUAUUAACUACAAAUUUAUAGUUAAUUAAAAUACUAAAACUCUUCUAUAAAAUCACCAACUUACUAACACGAACUUCAAGCUCGGACUAUUCUUCAUCCUUAUUGUCUCCAUUCGCUUAGAGAGAAAAAUAGAAAUAGAGAUGUAUGAGCGACACAGCUCAGUAAGUAAAUCUUACUCUACCUUACUAGAUCAAGCAUGAGUUUUUCUAUAUCGAUGCAUCAUUUAAGAAAAAUAAUGGUUAUUGUCAAAAUAAAGUAUUUUAUAGUACAAUAUAUUAAAACAAAUUAUAAAACAAAUCAUAUAUGAGCAAAUCAUCCUUCUUUUAUAAACACAGUUCACAAAUAAAUCCGUAAAUCAUUCUUCAUAUCAUUUAAACCUAUCAUGGAUCAAAAUAUUACUCACAGAUAUGUGUGCUACGGUCAUUUUAUAUUUAUGAUAGGGCCAUAAUCGAUUGCAUGCACAGUCUUCCAACUAUUAUACCCGCUGACGAGUGCUGUUACCAACUAUUAUACCUGCUAGCAAGGGCCAUUACCAACUAUUAUAUCUUUUGGUGAGGGCCUUUACCAAUUAUUAUACUUACUGGCGAAGGUCGUUACCAACUAUUAUACCCACUGGCAAGGGUCGUUACCAACUAUUAUACCCGCUAGCGAGGACUAUACAUAGCUAUCUGAGAGACUUUCAAAUUCUUAUAUUUUUUUUCUUAAAACAUACAUAUAAUAAAUGAAAAACACUAAAAGAUAUAAUUGGAUUCAUAUUUUAUAAUAAAGCUAUUUUAUUUAAAUAUUUAUGGAAUUAUCUUUCAUAAUAAAGCAUAAUUUUCAUAGCACAUAUGCCAAUCCAUAAUUUUACUUACUUCUUUUGUUUUAGAUUGUCAAACUUUGCUAGGCAACUCCGCUAAACCUUUUUGAAAUAUUAACAGCGAAAUUACUUUCUAAUUGACGGCUUUAAUAAAAUAAUAUGAGAAGACUUGAUCGAGCAUAUAGUCGUUUCGGGUGGGUUAGGUCUAGACGAUUCGCUCAAUAAAUCAAACUCAAUUAGAGCCAAGAUCCAUUUACAAGGUUCAUCAAUGAAGGUUGUAAGGAUAUUCCACAAGGCCGGGGUAAUCAGUCUAGUAGGUGGCCCGGGUACCAAGAUAGAUUAAGGCCUCUUUUCAAGGGUUAACUCGGAUUUGUAUAUCGGGUCGACAAGACCCGAUACUAGAUUCCAUAUAUCUUCUGAGAGAGAAAGUGAGAGAGGAGAGAAAGAGAGAGAAAAUAAAGAAGAGGAAAGAAUCUUUCUUCCUGUCUCUCUUCUUCCUUCUCCCUUGCCGGUAACAGGUGGCAGUUGUGGUGGCCCAGUUGCCCACCCGACGCCGGCCUCAGGUGGCUGCAACUCUAGCCAAAUCCAGCAGCCGACGGUGGCUAAUCAUGGCUGAAACAUGGGUGCUCUAUUUCGGAGGUAGCUCUGGCAAUUACUGGCUCAAAUCCAAGAAAAUAAAGGCCCAAAACUCCAAGGAAGAAAGGGGAGGAGAUGGAGGACUCAUAUCUCAGUCUGGCAAGGUUUCUGGCGACUCUUUGUGGUGGAAAUCGGAGGAAGAACCUCAAGAAGAAAACUUUAAAAUCGAGAGAACUCUAGCCCUAUUUCUUGAUGGAUCUUAGGGGGGGGGGAUCGAGAAUCUUAAAUAGGCAAAAAUUAGAGCUUUUGGAUGUUCGGAUUGGCUUGGAACACUGCUAUUUCGAUCGCUAUUGCGAUCGAAAUCGGAGAGGAAAGAGAUACCCAGCCGGAGUCCUCUCCCAAUUCGUCACGUGUGGCGGACGUGGAUGAUUGGGCUGGCCACUUCGAGCCGACCCACAAGUCCAACGCAAUGUGCAUGUCGGUCAAUGGACCGAGCCCUCACAAUUAAAAUCUAAAAAUAUGAGUUGUCAAGAAUAUAGAGUUAGUCACGUGCGAUCAAGAUAGGAUGUUGCGAAGUUUGGUUGAAUAUGAGGCAAGUAUACCGCCAAAAAAAGUGUGAGAUAAGUAGUGGUUGAUCGUAAUCAAUUGAAUGUGUUAGAUACGGUAAGUAACAAUAGAUCUCCUGAAUUGCUGGAAAUAUGCAAUGAUAAAUGGAGCCGACAAAUACCGACCAAAUAGUUCGUUUGUCUAGGGUUGCAUGAUUGCACUUGAACCAUGACAUUUGGUUCCCACUAAAUAUAAGCUCAAUAAAAUAGAAGGCAUUAAAAAUAGCAAAUAUAAUUCUUGAUAAUAAAAAAAUACUCCGUAAAUGCUUUUCAGCGCCAAUUGUAUUCAUCUUGGUGGGACCCACUUCUACUGUGGCAUAUAGAGCACCAAAUUCGACGGUCACAUGUUGUGGUCGGAAAAAUGAGUCCUCGGAACAACCUAUACAGUCCAAAACAAUCCGCAACUCAGUUCCUUCCAAAAACUGCCCCCGCAAUUCCUACUUCCAUGAAUGGCACGUGUCCCCUCACCUGCUUAACCCUCCUCUCCCUCGUUCACAUUUGAGACCCAGGAGAUUACUCCCCACCCUCUCUCUCUCUCUCUCUCUCUCUCUCUCUNNNNNNNNNNNNNNNNNNNNCCUCCUCUCUCUCUCUCUCUCUCUCUCUCGCCAUUCUAACGGAGCAGCCACCACCCCCAUCGAUCUCCUCCCUUCCACCCCAUUGAUCUAUCAGACUCCAUGCCACCCCACUUCGCCGUCAGGCCGCUCGAAACCAACCGAUAUAACGGCAGGAUGACACCCUUCCUCGUCCUUACUUGCAUGGUGGCCUCGUUGGGAGGUGUGAUCUUCGGCUAUGACAUUGGAAUCUCAGGUACCGACCUCUACCUGCACCAGCUUUCUGAAGUAAAAUAUUUCCUACCAACCGAUUCACGGAAAUUAACGAGCUAAAUUUUUAAUGAUCUGGGUGUCAUGGCCACCAAAGAGGCAAAUCACAAGGACAUGUUUCCAUGGCUGCAUGCGAGGAUGGAGGAGAGCAUCAGCAGCAGCAGCUCCUGCUGGUCAGGCAGCCCCCGGGCGAGUGGCUACAGGGCGUCACUGUACGUGGCGGGGGCGAUGGGGGCGUUGGUGGCUGCGUGGGUCACGCGGGCCUUCGGCCGCCGGCCGACCAUGGUUGCCGGCGGCGCCGCUUCCUUGGCCGGGUCGAUCCUGUCCGCGGCCGGGUCCACCGUAUGGACGCUCCUGCUCGGCCGCGUCCUGUUAGGCUUCGGCGUCGGCUUCGCCAACCAGGUAAGAUUCAUGCAGGUAUUAGAGUUUUCUGAGGCGCACGUGGCAUUAGAGUUCAGGACAAAAGUGCUUUCUCUUUGACUAAAAUAAAGAAGAAAAUAAUUAGAAAAGGAAAGAUGGGACAAAGCAAAAUAUAAUAGAGUUUUCAUGCUUGGUACUAGAGAGAUGAGAUGUCAAUAAGCUACAGAGUAUGCCACGGUUCUGAUUAUAAAUCCAACUUCAUAAAUUAGGCCCAUUGACAUCACCACUCGGUCCUACUUGUAAGUCUGUUGUAAGACUAGGUUAAUUAUGAUUGUAGUGCCUAGCAUUUUGGUUCUGCCGAGAAUGGCUAAUUUAAGAAGUAAAUUAAGUUAAAUGCCGAUGUGCAUCGAGGAUUACUGGUUGGACCAGGUCCACCAGCUCGACGGUGGACCAGACGAACCAAAAAGCAACAUGCAUAAACACAGACAAAGAAUAAAAAGAAAGGAAAGAGAGCUGGAAGGGCGUGUUGCUUUCCAUCUUGACUGGUCCAUUGCCAAAUUGGUAGAUCUGAUCCAACCAAUAAUUUUAUGUAAAGAAUGGACAAUAAAUAUUUAUUUUAAAAAAAAUUGCAUUUGAUGCUUUCUCAGCCCCUUGGUUUCCAAGGGCUGAUGAAAAAACAACUAGAAUUUUGCCCUUCAAUAUGGAGAUAGUAUGGUAUUUGAGGAGUUUUUCAGCCCUUGGAGAGGCCGAAUUCAGCCACAUAAUAUCAAACUGUGAAUGUGAUAGGAAAAUUAACUGCUCAAAGAAGGAUUAUAAAAUGCUUAUAUCUAUAUAUAAAUUGUUUGGAUUGGUGCAGAUGGUGAUAUAUAUAGAUACAAGUAACACGAGUUUACUUAGCAAAGCCCCAUCUUUUCACGCGGGGUGGCAAAAGUUGUCACAUUGAGGAUCAAAAAGUGUGCUGCAGAUCAGCUGUGUGGCAUUUUGGGUGAGACUUUUACUGGAAAACGAAUUGAAUGCCUCUAAGUCAAUACUAAAUUGCAACGACAUGCACAGAAAAAAAGGUGGUCCCAUGAGCUAAUGUCCAGGCGAGGUUCGAUGUAGACAAAUGCAUAAUAGGCGAAGGAAAACAAACAACAUUUAAGUCUGUAGAGUGAAUUUCUUCCGAGUUUGACCGAACUCUUUAUUUCCACUGCAGAGAUGAUGCACUGCUAGCUUGCAAUAGAGGUCAUGAACCCAAUACAGCAUCCUUUGAAACAAACAGACACACGGGAUAGACGAGACCACCACAUAUAGGGUGCAUCUAGUUCGUGAUCGAAAUUGGAAUUGAAUUGGAUUGGAAUGAAAAUCAAAAUGGUCGUAGUUCCCAGUAUGUUUGGUUCAUAACUGGAAUUAGAAUCAGAAUUGAAUUUAAAUACUAUGAGAGAGUCACAAUUGGAUUUUAGUGGAUUAAAAGUUUUCAUUUCUUCUAAAAUCGGAAUGAAAAUAAGACUCCCUCCAACCAAAUAGCUAGAAUAGAAGUUGCUCAUUCUCAUUCGCUUCCAGAGUCCAACUCCCCCCAACCAAACUUGGCCACAUUUUUUGGAGAAAAAGAUGUCAAAUGGGUACCCAAAUUUGAGGUCUACUAGUUAUGCGACCACACGACAGAUGCGUUAUUUCUUCUUUGCACAAUAAAACAGGUAUGUUUUAUGUCUGCUGUCAAUGGGAAAGCGACUUUGCAUUAGCCUACAAUCCAUUGUUGUUUUGGAAUUUGUGGUUGCCAUCACUGGUGGUGCUUUGAAGUUGUCAUGGAGCGCCCAUGAAUCUCAACAUCUACCAUGGACCACAGGUGGAUCCAAAACGGAGUCUCAUUUUCUACCAUUCAGUGAAUCUAAGGUCAUUUACCUUGAAAUAGUGUUAGCGGGUAAUUUAGCACCUUCAUUUGUAUGGUAAUAUAUUUGGCCGUGUGUUAAUUUAGCACUGGUUUUUUUACCCCCUUUAUCAACAGCAUGAUAUUAAUUGGACAGAAAAAAAACUCAGAAAAUAAACAUUAAUUAUUUUUCUGAAAUCUUUUCCAUCACCAAACACUUCCCAUAAUUACAAUUCACUACGUUAUCUCUCAAACCCUAUAUUCAUAUUUUGUAUUGAUUUUGUUACAAUUGUUGCAGGCAAUUCCACUGUACUUAUCAGAGAUGCCCCCCCCGGACAGCCGAGGAGCAAUCAACAAUGUCUUUCAGCUUAGUUAUGACAUUGGUUUGUUCCUCGCUGAUCUCAUUAUCUUUGGUGUUGAAAGACCAAGAGAGAGCUGGGGAUGGCGUAUCUCUCUUGGUAUGGCUGCAGCUCCAUCUCUCUUCCUCACGCUUGGUGCUCUCUUCAUCCCUGAGACGGCAAACAGCAUCAUCCAAAGGGACAUUGACUUCCACAGGGCAGUGAAGACUCUCCAGACAACACGAGGCACCCCAGAUAUCCUAGCAGAAUUAAAUGAUAUAAUGGCUGCUGGCGACGCUCAAGUAACUACUAACCAAUCCUUCUAUAGGAUUACUCGAUACGAGUAUAGGCCUCAACUCGUAAUGGCGAUCGCAAUCCCAUUCUUCCAACAAGUAAUAGGAUUCAAAUUGGUGGCUUUCUACAUUCCUAUCUUGAUUCGAAACAUCGGUUUUGGCAAGAAUUCGUUCCUCAUGUCAGCAUUUGUGAUAGGACUUACAAGCACCACCUCUACUAUGGUGUUAAUGGCCGUCAUCGAUAGAAUUGGUCGACGCGCUAUGUUUACGUUUGGAGGCAUACAGAUGCUCGUCUCACUGGUGACCAUUGGUAGAGUGAUGAUGACCCAACUCAGCGAUGACAAUGUGAUUAGUAGAGGCUAUGCAUGCUUUGCCUUGUUCUUGGUUUGUGUUUAUCUUAUGGGCUUUGGAUGGUCUUGGGGACCUUUAGGAUGGUCGGUCCCAAGUGAGAUUUUCCCUCUAGAGAUCAGAUCCGCAGGGCAAAGCAUUGUGGUGGCAGUGUGGUUUCUGUUUGCAUUUGUUAUAGCCGAGACCUUUCCCACUUUGCUUUGCCGACUUAAGGCUACCAACUUCUUCAUCUGUGGGGGCUGGCUGGCAAUGGUGAUUGUAUUCAUUCAUUUAUUUUUGCCGGAGACCGGGGGAAUAGCAAUGGAACGGAUGGAUCGGGUGUGGAAGGAACAUUGGUUCUGGAAGAAAACUGCAGCUGUUGAAGCAACCCAGGAUGACUGUUUUGAUGAUAUUACAUAAUUGUGUAAUACAGUAUCUAGAGUAUAACAAUGAUGAUGAUGAUGAUAUCCUCUCAUUAACCUAUUUUUGGGUGGAAUGAGCAAUUGCUUCACAUUCCUUCGCUGCUUCUAUUGAUUUACAUUUAACAUAGUUUGCUCAUUGGUAUAGGUUGUUGGAGGGAACACAGGAUGAGGUAAGUUAGGUUCCCUGUCAUCUAAUUUAUGCUUUUCUUUUCAUAUUUGUUCAUUAUACGUAUAUAUAAAUGAAGUUGUAGUCUGAAGUUUACAGACUUAAUUCAUGAGGAGAGAGUGUGGUAAGGAGGCUGAUGUAUAUGAACCAAUAACCUUAUAGAUGACAAAUAGAAUAUAUAACAGUUCCACAACGCUAUAUGUUCUGAACUCCGAUUAAAUAAUCACUUACAAUCGUGGUCCACAACUGUAUUAUUUAAAUAUGUAUUCAUCGGCAACAACAGUUUUACAGUGUCCCACUUGUUAUUAUUAUUAUUAUUAAGAACUGUGACUUUCUUCUGGAAGAUUUCUACCUGGAAUCUGUAGAAGUCAACUUUGUCUUGCAUUUCUAGUAACCAAUUUCUUUGACAUGACAUCCUUUCAGUUCUCAUGUGCAGCUUGCCGAGUGGAUAAAACAAGUAUCUGUACAACCAGGAGGUGUGAACAAGGCUCUGAGGUGCUCUCAAAAUAAAUACUUGGAUGCAUCUGCUACUGAAAUGUCAAAAUUAGAUGGUUUAAUUGUGAAUUUUCUGGGGCUGCAUUAUUUAUUAAAAAAAGUCAAGUAAAAAGAGAACAAAGUGGCUCAGUUUUCGGGCUCAACGAAGUAUAAAGCAUGCUCUGAUCUUUCUCGAACUUUUCGUUGAUCAUUUCUGAGUGCUCCUUUAGUUAGAAUAAUCAUUUGUUAAAUUCCUUUAGCGCAUAUUCUCGACUCUUGUUUGGCUCUUUCUCUGAAAAUAAAGUAGUCUAAUUUCUGAAUGAACCCUUUUCUUUUUUUUUUGCAUUGGAUGCAGUGGUUCCUCCAUGGAUGAUGGAGAAUUAUGAAGACAAAACCAACAUCCCACCGAGAUUUUUUUAUUAGUGCAAACAUGCAAAGGGUUGGAAGCUGUAACCUGAUCAAUCAUUCACAAUCCUUGUUUCUUUUUCUUUUUCUUCUAUUCUUGGUGCGAAUGGUCAAAACCUUUCCAUCCUAAUUGAAAAAUUCAUGCUCCUAUCUAAGAACAUUCUUGGUUUGUCUCCACAAUGUUUAGACUAUGUACUGUGUCAUAAACUACUGUGAUCUUAAUCGUAUAUAUUAUGAAAAGAUGAACUCAAGGAACAAAAAAAAGGAAAAAAAAAAAAUACUGCUUCAUCCUUUCUCUCUUUUGCAUCCUCAUGCAUCUGUGCGUGUUUAUAGAGUAUCCUAUCAGAAUGGGAUCAUGUGCAAAAUCAUAACAUACGGAAUAGCCAGAUACUCAUUUGCAGUAUGGUUGAUUUAGACUUAAUCCCAAUUGGGCCAAAUCAGGUUGGCCCAGUUUUUGGUCCACACGUCUAAUUUGGGUUAGCUCGAUUGGCUUUCACAUUGGGCUUGAGCCUAGCUUCGGGUUAGGCUCGGGCUUUGUUUUUUCUAAAAUUUAGGACUAGCCUGAAGUGUAACAAAAAAUUUGAGGGCCAAGCUCAGGUAGGGGUAUUGUCCACCUUGGCCUGGUUUGUUUCUAGCCUUAGCCAAGGACUGAAGCAUGGCUAUAGCUAGUCUAAUACAGAUUUAACUUGUGCUAAUCAGAUGAUGACUAAUAGUCUGAUGGAAAUUACUAUUGAAUGAAACUGCUGAUGUAUGAUAUGUAUAAUAGAAUUGAUGUAGAUUAGGUGGUGGUGGUGUCCUGGGAAAGAUUUUCAGGGCUGAGUCGAAGAUGAGAUGAGGGUGUGCCAGUAGGACUGUGAUCAAAUGUGUCAGUUGGGUCAGUCAAGUGGAAGUCGCUGGUGGUUAACGUGCCAUGUCGGUUGCUGUGGAGUAGUGAUUAGAUCCGGUUGGACUUGACAGAGAGAGGAGAGAGAGGUAGCCGAACCAAAGGGAUUGGAUCUGUUCUUUGAGCUAACAGUGGCUCCAUGAGUUCCAGCUUUCUUUUUAUCACUAUGCUUAGGGAUUCACAUCUUAGAUCACAUUGCAUACUAUAAAGAGCUAUGUAUAAGAUACAUUAGCAAGAAUAUUCUGUUGAAAUUUAUUCCCCUCCCCUAGUCCUCUUCUACCUACUUAAUCAAGUAGCCCAAUUUGAUAAGGUUUGAUUUUUCCAAUGAUAGGAGUUCCCCAUCCUCAUCUCAUCUCCAUCUCCCUCUCUCCCACCCGACACUCCAAAGCCUAAUGCUUCUGGGCUGCUGGCAGAUCCAUGCCUGCCAUGAUAUAAUAUUGUUAUGCCUUCCCACACCUCUCUCUCUACCCUCCAAACUCUAGCCUUUAUUUUAACCUUCAAGCAUAUUGGAUUUCUGAUUCUAAAUCGAUAUGCACUUGGAUUGAAAUCCCAAAUGUCUAUCAAACUCUCAGAUAGAGUUUUGCACUCUCUCUCUCGAAUUAAUUGAUUGAGACUGAAAUUCCAACAAUAUCUAAGCUAAUAUUUAAAUGACAAGUUGGUAAAUUUUAUCUCAAGGAAAAUAUUCUUGUCAUUGUCAAAUACUAAGUUUUAGUAACGACAUCUAAAUAUCAUUGUCGAUGUCGCAAGACCCAUAUGCUCUAUUUUUUAAACUCUUGGCACCAUCGCUUCAUGUCUGAAUCAAAACCUCCUCUUCUCCUCUCUUGCUCUUAGAUGAUCACCACCAUUGUAAAUGACACCCCUCCUUUCUCAAUCUUGCUUCCUUAUGUGACCAAUAGGUCUUUACCACGCAAGUUCUCUCUCCGACCUCCAACAAUUACCUAUGCCAUCGAGCUCUCCCUCCAACCUCCCUUCUUGUCUUCACCUCCUACCUCCCUCCUUGUCCUCAAUUAACGAUCAUUUGUGAUAACUACCGACAAUCCCUAAGAUACCCCCUUUCUCCUCCCCCCCACCCGAACCUUUCUCUUUCUCUCAAUUAGAUCCAAGUCAUAAGUGUCUCCAUAGCUACUUUAAUCAAACCGACAAGGUACUUCUUAUCAUUUCACCAUCCUUCAUCUCUCUCACUCAUACUCUCUCCCUCUCUUGCUUAUUUUUGAUCCUCUCUAUUGUCCAUUAAUGCUCCUUUGGAGCAUGCUUGAUCCCUUGCUGAGAGAAAAUGAUAGAAUGCAUCAAGAAGCCCAUUCUAUUAGCAUUCUAAAUUGAUCCUUGUUGCCUUUAUCACUCAUUAAUUUACUAUGGAAGGGCCCUUUAAAAUUUCUUUCUAUGAGAUUAUUUUCUAGGUCAUCUCUAAAUUGUUCUCUAGUUUUUAUAGUGUCNNNNNNNNNNNNNNNNNNNNNNNNNNNNNNNNNNNNNNAUGAAUAAUGUAUGCUGACAGUAGGCAACAAAAUCUUUUAGUUUAUAGCACUAAACUAUAGUAUUAAUGAUGUUAAAAUAAUAGUUUUUAGUUUUUGGAGGGUCUAUUUUGAUAUCUCCUUGGUUACGUUAAUUUAGACCAUUGAUCUCCAGAUCAUAUUUUUGAUGGUAAGCAGUUUAGAUAUAGAAAAAUCAUAUCCAAUUGUUUGAAUUAUCAGUGCCACAUCUCCUGUUAUUCGGUCUGGACCUGCUUCCGGGACCACGAAAUGCACCACUAGGGGCUGUUUUUCUGAUUCGAGUUUGAAACGAGAUCUUCUUUAGGCUCUUGUACGGAUGCCUGACAUAUUAAUUCUACUAUAUAUAUAUAUAUGUAAAAGUAAUUGUGAAAGCAACCAUUUUUUCAUGAAAAUAACUGAUUUUUGGAAAGGAUAAUUAUCAGGUUUACAUUCCUCCAAUAAAUGGAAGUGGUCAUGAUUGUAUCUUAGUAUAUUAAUUAGGUCUAAUUUUGUUAUUAGUCUUGGCAUUUAUAAAAAUAUAUCAUUCGUCAAGUUUGAUAUAUAGACCCUUUUCCCAUUAAAGUAAGUUCUAGGAUUCAAUUGAUCAAUUAAAAACAUAUUUUUGCUAAAGAUCACAAGUUUGAAUCCUCUAGCAUACAUUAUCAACCAUUUCCCAACGAGCUUUAACUUUUGGGAUCAAUUGGUUAGUUAACACUAUUGAAAUCACAUAGUCACGUAAUUCUAGCCUCGCAAACAAGUAAACAACAAUUAUAACAAUUUGGCUUGCCAAAUAAGAAAAAGAAGGCUGGAAUAAAGUGGCGGACACAGUCCAUACAGAACAAUUCACUACAGUUGUGAUCGAAUUAGAAGCCCCUCCGGGAUCCAACUAUGAUCAAGAGGUUCGCGUACAAUUUAUUAUGAGCAAAAGUUCAGAGGUUUCAUUGCUUAUGCAUGAUGGUUAUUGAGGACAUCGACCUUAGAGAAGCCUCAUGAUGAUGUGAAGUCUCUAGUUGACAAGGAUUUGCAGAAAAGUCUGAAAGGUUACAAUUAGUUCAGCUUAGUAGGUAUAGAUCAAUAUGAUGGAUAUGAUCAUGAUCCACCAUGGAACUUAAAAUCAAAAAUUUUUGCACAGCAAAUUAUAGAAGACAUGAAGCUUCAGGAAUCCAUAUGGCAGUGAACUCCUGUAUGGCAAGUUUAUUAGAGAAAAAUUACGACACAUGCAGCAUGUGGGAGUGAUAAUGCAAUUGCAGCCAUCGUUUUUAGGCAUCACUAGAAUGUGGACCAAGGGAGAUUGUUGGAGGUAGUAAUCCAAACUUAUGCAGGAUAUUUGGAUUUAUAUUAUGAUAUUAGAUAAGAUGAUUUGAGAUUGAGUUGGAAUCUGGAGCUACUGCCUAUGAAUUUCUACAUUCAAUGGUUUCAAUGGCUUCGGCCGAAAUGAUUGUAGGGAUAUGGAUCUUGAGAUUAGAGAAUAAGUUAAUUGGUGAGUAGUGUUUAGUCGCAGAUAGUUGAGUAUAGAUGAUAUAGCAACAGUAAUCAUGAACUACUAGAGCUUGACUGAGGAAGUCCUUUUGUGACUGGAUACAGACUUUGGUAAUUACCAUUAGAGAGAAAAUAAGAAUAAAAUAACUAUUCAUUCAGUGUUUUUAUAUAAUCUCUCCUCUCUUCUCCUCGUUAUAUUCUCCGCCUUCCUAUUAUUCUAUUCUUGAAUCCACAUGCAAGCUCUACCGUGGUGCUCGUAAACUUCACAUUUUACCCUUUUAUUGCACUAUCUUUUUAUUCACAUAGAGAAUAGUGCAAGGCAUGAAAAUACAAUUUAUAUUCACCGCGAAGUGGAAUUUAAAAAAUUUGCCUAUGGCUCACAUGCUAUACGCGAUGGACUUUGGAAUGCAUAUUCCCCAUUACAUGUUAAGAGGUAUAAAAAUUAUGAUUCAAGAGGAACAUUAGAAUCAAUAUGGACCGUUUUGACUACUACGAAUAAGAUUUAAUAGGGUUCAGAAAUGAGAUCUGCCAUAUCAGAAGCUGAAUCGCAUGCCAACUUUCUUGAGGCCAUAAUUUAGGCAUGCAACAUCCGAUUGAGAUAAUUUCUUCUUUUUUUUUUGAUGAAAAUCGGAUAACUUUUCGAAAUCUAUUUUGGAAAAUCUAAUCUUGUCAAACUAAAAGAAAAAUUUAGCACAAAUUGUAUGAUGACAGAUCUCAUUAUUAUAUAUUUCAGUUUAUAGAUUCUCAAUGAAAGAAAAGAGAAUCUAGACUCUAUUUUCAUCAUUUAUUAUUAUUAUUAUUAUUUUGGAGAGGUUCGAGUUGAGUAGGUUGAUGAAAUUUUUCUUUCUUUCCGAUCGGAUCAAGAUGUAUAAAAGCAAUUUCAAAUCUCAAAUUCCCCAUAUAUGGAAGGUGAGCUUGAAGUGCAAACUAAGUCAUACAUUGUGCUUAAUACACGAGAAUUAUCGGUUCUCCCAACCCCUUAUUUGUCGUUCUUCUAGAGUUUGGAUAAAGGUGAUGCAAGCCGGUUCUCAAUUAAGGGAUAGCGUAAAGUUAACGCAAACCAAUUCAAACAAAGAGAUGGCAUAAAGUUGAUGCAAACAAAUUUCUAAUUAGUAUUGUGUAAACGUGAUGCGCAAAACCUAUGGCUAGAAACUAAUGGCAAUACAAACUGGUGGCGAUGUAAACCAAAGGCGGUGCAAAUAGAUUUCCAAUCAAGGACUGUAUAAAUGCAGUGCAAACCAACGGUGGUGCAAAACCAAUGGCUAGAAACUGGUGGCAACACAAACUAGCGGCGAGUAAACCAAUUUCUAAUCAUUAUAAGAUAAAUCAAUUUCUAAUUAAGAUUACAAAAAGGCAAAGUACCUUAUUCCUAAUUUCUAAAAUGCUAAAAUCUUUUUACGGCUCUUCUUGAAAGAUUCCUAUACAAUCAUCUAAAUUCAUGAGCUCAAAAUGCAAAUCAUUUUCUCAAAAAAUUUCUUGCCAAUCAAAUUGAAAUGAUAUAAAUAAAUAAAUAACAUUAAUUGAAUAAAUACAUAAUUCAGAUCCUAAGCUCAUCCAUUAUAAAUAGGAUAUUAGUAACUACAAACUCAAAACAAGCCUCAAGACUUCUUGACCGCCUACCCAUCUGCCACCAGCAAUGUCAUGGCCUUGAGGUGAGCCUCUCCCUAUACCCAUCUCUCUAUCUCCUCUCACUGACUCCCUCUCCCUCUCCCUCUCUCUCAUGGCCUAGAGGUGUGCCUUAUGUUCCACUCUCACAUCACUCUCCUGGUAGCCUACCUCAUUUUUUCCUCUCCCACACUCCAUACUCUUCCAUCCCUUAGUAUCUCCACCCUUCUUUUUUCCUCAGUUAACCCUUAGUCCUCAACCCACCAAGCCCUAACCCUAAUCCUGCAAGUGGAUCAAAUUUCCAAUUCAAUGUAGAUUUGGACUUGGAUCAAAAUUCCAAAAAUUUACCAUUCCUAGCCUUCUUGCUCUGCACUUCUUUCUAUAUACCGUCAGCUCCUCUCCUCAUCAUGGUCCCACCUCACGAACGAGAAUUUAAUGCUAGUAUUGAUAAUUAUAAAUUUGAUUUUUUUGCUUGACAGGUCCACCUUAAAAUGGCUAACUUCAUAGCUAAAUUUCUUGGCUUGGGAGGUAUUGGAAAAAGGUAUAUAUGAUUUUGUUUUUCCAUCCUAUGUUUCAAUGAUAUGUGAAGAAUGACUUUAUGUAAAUGCAAAAGUUGAAAAAAUCAUAAGCGAAAAAAAACUAUGGACCUAAAAGUUUGAAUUUGUUUAUAAUGAGUAUAUGUAAUAUUUGAUUUGCUUACCUUAUUACAUUUAUCUUAAUUUUUGUAAGCAGUUUAGAACUUUUUUUUCUUAAAUUACUUUCGCAUAUGUAUGUAAUUCUAGAAGUCCAUGUUUGCAAUAUCCCCAUCCUCAUCUCAUCUCCAUCUCCCUCUCUCCCACCCGACACUCCAAAGCCUAAUGCUUCUGGGCUGUUGGCAGAUCCAUGCCUGCCAUGAUAUAAUAUUGUUAUGCCUUCCCACACCUCUCUCUCUACCCUCCAAACUCUAGCCUUUAUUUUAACCUUCAAGCAUAUUGGAUUUCUGAUUCUAAAUCGAUAUGCACUUGGAUUGAAAUCCCAAAUGUCUAUCAAACUCUCAGAUAGAGUUUUGCACUCUUUUCCUCUCGAAUUAAUUGAUUGAGACUGAAAUUUCAAUAAUAUCUAAGCUAAUAUUUAGAUGACAAGUUGGUAAAUUUUAUCUUAAGAAAAAUAUUCUUGUCAUUGUCAAAUAUUAAGUUUUGUAACGACAUCUAAAUAUCAUUGUCGAUGUCGCAAGACCCAUAUGCUAGCUCUAUUUUUUAAACUCUUGUCACCAUUGCUUCAUGUCUGAAUCAAAACCUCCUCUCCUCCUCUCUUUCUCUUAGAUGAUCACCACCAUUAUAAAUGACACCCCUUCUUUCUCAAUCUUGCUUCCUUGUGCGACCAAUAGUUCUUUACCACGCAAGUUCUCUCUCCGACCUCCAACAAUUACCUAUGGCAUCGAGCUCUCCCUCCAACCUCCCUUCUUGCCUUCACCUCCUACCUCCCUCCUUGUCCUCAAUUAACGAUCAUUUGUGAUAACUACCGACAACCCCUAAGAUACCCCCUUUCUCCUCCCCCCUCCCAAACCUUUCUCUUUCUCUCAGUUAGAUCCAAGUCAUAGGUGUCUCCAUAGCUACUUUAGUCAAACCGACAAGGUACUCCUUGUCAUUUCACCAUCCUCUAUCACUCUCACUCAUACUCUCUUCCUCUCUUGCUUAUUUUUGAUCCUCUCUAUUGUCCAUUAAUGCUCCUUUGGAGAAUGCUUGAUCCCUUGCUGAGAGAUAAUGAUAGAAUGCAUCAAGAAGCCCAUUCUAUUGGUAUUCUAAAUUGAUCCUUGUUGCCUUUAUCACUCAUUAAUUUACUAUGGAAGGGCCCUUUAAAAUUUCUUUCUAUGAGAUUAUUUUCUGGGUCAUCUCUAAAUUGUUCUCUAGUUUUUAUAGUGUANNNNNNNNNNNNNNNNNNNNNNNNNNNNNNNNNNNNNNAUGAAUAAUGUAUGCUGACAGUAGGCAACAAAAUCUUUUAGUUUAUAGCACUAAACUAUAGUAUUAAUGAUGUUAAAAUAAUAGUUUUUAGUUUUUGGAGGGUCUAUUUUGAUAUCUCCUUGGUUACGUUAAUUUAGACCAUUGAUCUCCAGAUCAUAUUUUUGAUGGUAAGCAGUUUAGAUAUAGAAAAAUCAUAUCCAAUUGUUUGAAUUAUCAGUGCCACAUCUCCUGUUAUUCGGUCUGGACCUGCUUCCGGGACCACGAAAUGCACCACUAGGGGCUGUUUUUCUGAUUCGAGUUUGAAACGAGAUCUUCUUUAGGCUCUUGUACGGAUGCCUGACAUAUUAAUUCUACUAUAUAUAUAUAUAUGUAAAAGUAAUUGUGAAAGCAACCAUUUUUUCAUGAAAAUAACUAAUUUUUGGAAAGGAUAAUUAUCAGGUUUACAUUCCUCCAAUAAAUGAAAGUGGUCAUGAUUGUAUCUUAGUAUGUUAAUUAGGUCUAAUUUUGUUAUUAGUCUCGGCAUUUAUAAAAAUAUAUCAUUCGUCAAGUUUGAUAUAUAGACCCUUUUCCCAUUAAAGUAAGUUCUAGGAUUCAAUUGAUCAAUUAAAAACAUAAUUUUGCUAAAGAUCACAAGUUUGAAUCCUCUAGCAUACAUUAUCAACCAUUUUCGGACGAGCUUUAACUUUUGGGAUCAAUUGGUUAGUUAACACCAUCGAAAUCACAUAGUCACGUAAUUCUAGCCUCGCAAACAAGUAAACAACAAUUAUAACAAUUUGGCUUGCAAUCCAGCUCCAUCUAAGAUGGAGAAAAUGAUUUCCUAAUAUAUAAACAUGAUGAAGUAGAUAGGAACACCUUAACACAGUUCCCUAGAAUGUAAUAACAUUUUAAUCAAAUAAUGAAAGGAAUUGCAUAUCUAGUAAGAGGAGUACUCAUGUGUACAUCAUAAUAGUAUCAAUCUUCCACAAGAGUAGCUAAAUAUGCAAAUAAAAAAUUUAAAUCUUUAUUUUUCCCCACAAUUCUCAACUCCAAGUAUGAAAUGUUAGGAAAAACAAAAAUCUGAAAAUAAAUCAUUGCUAAGUAUGCGUUGCAUCGUUUUGUGUUCCAAACAUAGAAAUUUUUACAAUAAUAAUUCAGCUCAUGUGGAAUAUGCAUGCACAAUGUAAGCACUAGAUCAAAGUGUUAUAAUGUAAAAGCACAUGCAAGAUUACCAUAAGCUUAAAUCCUCAUCACAUACGACAAAAUGCCCUUUUUAAGUAGCCAAAAGCACUGACAAGAAAAUAUUUUGGAUUUUAUGAAACAAUUAAUCAUUUGUCGUUGUUGCCAGGUGUCGCUAAUAACUUACUACAUUUUUGCUGAAAUGUUGCAAUUCUUAUAAAAUUGGAUAGAUUAUCUAUGCAAAUGGCAUGCUUUGUGGAGGAGUUUUUGAAAUUAAUCAGAAAAUAGGUCAGACUUAAUCUAGAUGGAUGCUACUACAUUUGGCUGGAUACGAGAAAAUUGCGCAUGCGUCAAUCCUGACCAAUAACAUAUUUUUAUUGCAACAACCAACAAUUGGCCUGCUGAAUUGCAGGAUGUCCGAUAAUGAUGGAGCCAACAAAUACUCAGCUUAUAGCGCAUCCGUCUAGAGUUAAUAACAUUGCAAUCGAACCGUUAUCCCAAUAAAUAACUAUUUAAAAUUAGUAUUAAUAAAAAAUAACCUUUUGAUAAUAAAGCAUAUCUUAUACAUGCUUGGCAACUGCAACAUACGAGCACCAUAAUGGAUUGGACUAUAUAUGUGUAUAUGUGUGUGUGAGAGAGAAAUAGAUAGCACCACAUUGGAUGCCCACAUGCGGUAGUCCAAAACGAGUCUCCCCGGCAAGACUAUGACAAUCUUUUUAACUUAGAGCGAUUCUAUAGUAACUCAUGAGAAAAAAUCGCUCAAAAACUUAGAUGACGUCCACCAAUCACUCCGUUUCAUUAAAUAGCACACUUCACGGUGCAAAUUCAAAGGGAGCACCACACGCUGAGCAGCUUCCUGAGUGAUUUUUUUCGAGCCAUUCAAUCAUUUUCGUAACUGAAAUCCUUCCAAAAAGCACUGCCACCCCAAAACCCACUUCAAUAAAUGCGUACGUGACACCCCCCUUCCCCUCUUCAUUCCUUCUUCUCCUUCUCGUGCAGGCCUUGGAAAUUACUCCAACAAAGCCACCACCACCACCACCUCAAUAGAUCUUCUCCCUACCACCUUGACUCUCCGUCCCUCUCUCACCAAAUCCCAUGGCACUCUGCUUUCGCAUCAGGCCCCUCGAAACCAGCCGGUACAACAGCAGAAUCACAUUCUUGCUCAUCACAAGUUGCACGGUAGCCUCGUUAGGAGGUUUUCUCUUUGGCUACAGCAUCGGGAUCUCAGGUACCAAUCUCUACAAUAUGCGCCAUCUCUCUCUCUCUCGUUUAAUUAAUCGACAGUGUUGGGCUGAGUUGGUGGAGUUUCUAAUUGAUGAUCUAGGUGGAAUGGCCACCAAAGAGGCAGAUCUUAGGGAGUUGUCUCCGUGGAUGCAGCUGAGGGUCGAGGAGAAAUCGAAGCACGGCAGCGACUACUGCCGGUCGGGCAGCCACCGGGCGAGGGCUUACACGGCCUCACUGUACGUGGCGGGGACGCUGGGCGCGUUGGUGGCCGCGUGGUUCACGCAUGCAUUCGGUCGACGGCAGGCCAUGGUCGCCGCCGGGGCCUUGGCCUUUGCUGGUUCAAUCCUCGCCGCGACGGGGCCCACCGCGUCGACGCUCGUCGUGGGUCGCCUUCUGCUCUGGUUCGGGGUCGGCGUUGCCAACCAGGUGAUCUCUCUCAUCUGCACGUGGCAGUAGAGUCUCGAAAAAAAGUGCUCACUUUUUGAACUGAAAGCGGAACAAAACAAACAAAUAAAGAAAAGGAGAGCAACCCAAAAAGAAAAAAAAAAGAAAGAAAAUUGCUGGGGUCGAGCAGAGUCCAACCUAUGGAACCAUAUAUCCAAGAUCUGGCCCAUAGCUGGACCGCAAAAUGUUUAUGGGUCCAAUUUGAUCACAGCAUGACCAAAAAUUUGGAUGUGAUUAACUAAAAAUCUAGCUAGAAACAUGAUCAAAUUUGGCCCAUAGCUAGGAAUAUUAGGAAUAAUAGGCUAAAUAGAGCAGUGGCAACAGAACACAGAAGUAUGCACUGAUUUCAUCUUUUUGAGACAAAACAGACACAUAUAUAGGCUCCUGAGCGCAUCUAGAGUGCAUUAGACCAAACCACCAUUGCACAUUGUAUUCAGAAAGAAAAAAAAGGACAUGGCUCUCAAAAUCUGCCGUGUCUUGCAGAAGACACACACACACACACACACACACACACAACAAAAAAAAAAUCUAAGCGCCACCUUACAACAAUAUAUGGUUGCUUGCUUGCUUUAAAGGAUGUCGAGGGAUAUAUUUGCACCUUGAUACCGGGCCCUUACAAGAAAGCAGUCCUUAAAUUAUAGUUUAUAACUAUUUUUAUUAUUUUUUUAUGAACCUAAUUAUAUAUAUAUCAACUGAAUGAGCAAAGAAGUAAUAUUAAAUUACAGAGAUGGGCAGAACAUGGAAUAUAAUCAUAACCUUUUGAACGUUUUUUCUCAUUACCUUAUUAUCUUUCAAAGUUCACACUGGUCUUGUUGCAAUUACUGCAGGCGAUUCCACUGUACCUAUCGGAGAUGGCUCCACCAAGUUCUCGAGGAGCCAUCAACCAUGGUUUUCAACUCGGUUUCGGCAUGGGUAUUUUUGCAGCCAAUAUUAUCUACUCUGGCACUCAAAGAAGAGGAGAAGCUUGGGGUUCGUGGAUCCCUUUCGCAGUUGCUAUCCCUCCAGCUUUCUUUCUCAUGCUUGGUGCUCUUCUGAUCCCUGAGACACCAAUUAGUCUUAUCCAACGAGAUAAAAACUUCCAUGACACUGUGGAGACCCUCCAGAAGAUUCGGGGCACCCCGGAUGUCCUCGCAGAGCUUAAUGAUAUAAUGGCUGCCGGCAGCACUCCUAUAACCUUCAGCCAAUCCUUAAGAACGAUGAUUCGACGUAACUAUUGGCCUCAGCUGAUAAUGGCUGCAGCAAUCCCAUUCUUCCAGCAAGUCACGGGAUUCAGCAUUGUAGCCAUCUACACCACGAGCUUGGUUCGAAACGUCGGUUUCCGUGAGAAUUCGUUACUUAUGUCAGCAACGCUAAUAGGGUUCACAAGCAGCAUCUCCACCAUUGUUUUGAUGACUGUGGUUGAUCGAAUCGGCCGACGGGUGAUGUUUACGGUGGGAGGCAUCCAGAUGCUCGUCUCGUUGGUGACGGUAAUCGGCAGUGCAAUGGCGGCACCACUCGGCAGGAGCUGUUCAUACUUGGUUUUGCUUUUGUUCUGUAUUUAUCUUAUGGGCUUUGGAUGGUCCUGGGGGCCUCUGGGAUGGUUGGUUCCAAGCGAGGUCUUCCAACUGGAGAUCAGAUCGGCGGCGCAGAGCAUUGCAGCGGCGGCAUGGUUUUUGUUUGCAUUGGUCAUAGCCGAGACCUUUCCAACGACGUUUUGCCACCUCAAGGUUGCCAUGCUCUUCUUCUUUGCGAUUUGCAUUGUGGCGAUGACUGUAUUCGUUUAUUUGUUCUUGCCCGAGACAGGAGGAAUACCUUUGGCGUGCAUGGAUCGAGUGUGGAGGGAGCACUGGUUUUGGAAAAAAAUUGUUGAGGUUGAAGCAGAAUAGGAUUAUUAAUUAUUCCAAUGAUGAUUUGUAACAAUGCAAUAGAGUAUCUCAAAUGAAAGAGUAAGAUUUAGUCUUUAAAAAAACAAAAAAACUAUGCAUGUACGUAUUUAUUUUGGAAGAAAAGAGAGGAGAGUUAAUGCUCCAAUGAUAUUCUCUCUCUCCUCUCCUGCUGCUUGUUCUCAGAAUGCAACAUGACACGCUCCCUCUGCUCAGCCUCAUGUCCCCUCGUCAAGAUGUGGGAUCCGCACAUUUUUUUUGGAUGGAAAAAUGGCCGCAAACAACUUUGUUCUAAGACGGGUCUGAACCCUUAGGCAUGAGUGUAUACCAAAAACACUUGACCAUUGAAGCAUAACAAGAAACAUAGAAACACAUUAAGUUAAAUAAAUGCAUAAUGUUAUAUAUGUAAUUAUUUUUAGAAAAUCAAUGCAUGAUCUUAUUAUCUGUUCUGUCCAUAAAAAGGUAAUAUUUUCCUUUUAGAAGAUGAAUGAGAAAAAGAAACAUUCUGUAAUUCAUUCAUUUGAUAUUUUGAAACUUUACUAUUUAAAAGAAUCAAAUGAAUAUAUUAGAGUUUGAGUCAGGAAGAUCUACGGGCGCGGCUGCAGACUUUGGUCAUGUUCUUGUACAAAGUAAGCCAAAUGAAACUAUUGCGGAAAGAAGAAAAACACUAAAAUGAAUAUCUAUUUAGUAUGUUCUUAGUCUCUUUUCCUUUCCCUCGGUCAUGUUUUCCAUCAUGCUGUUCUUGCAUUCCUAAACUCGUGGGGUUUUACUAUUGGUAUCAGAGCUCACAGGGGCUUCAAACGUGCAAUUAGAGCUGAAGAUGGCGUAGAUCAUGAAUAUAGAUUGGUGGAUCCAACUAGACUUGCCAAAGUUCAAUCGUAGGCUACUUCAAAAAAGAUGUAUGGUGAAGCUCAAAAAGGACUAAAAGAAAGCCAAAUAAGAAAAAGAAGGCUGGAAUAAAGUAGCGGACACAGUCCAUACAGAACAAUUCACUACAGUUGUGAUCGAAUUAGAAGCCCCUCCAGGAUGCAACUGUGAUCAAGAGGUUCGCGUACAAUUUAUUAUGAGCAAAAGUUCAGAGGUUUCAUUGCUUAUGCAUGAUGGUUUAUGAGGACAUCGGCCUUAGAGAAGCCUCAUGAUGAUGUGAAGUCUCUAGUUGACAAGGAUUUGCAGAAAAGUCUGAAAGGUUAGAAUGAGUUCAGAUUAGUAGGUAUAGAUCAAUAUGAUGGAUAUGAUCAUGAUCCACCAUGGAACUUAAAAUCAAAAAUUUUUGCACGGCAAAUUAUAGAAGACAUGAAGCUUCAGCCUUCAGGAAUCCAUAUGGCAGUGAACUCCUGUAUGGCAAGUUUAUUAGAGAAAAAUUACGACACAUGCAGCAUGUGGGAGUGAUAAUGCAAUUGCAGCCAUCGUUUUUAGGCAUCACUUCUAGAAUGUGGACCAGGGGAGAUUGUUGGAGGUAGUAAUCCAAACUUAUGCAGGAUAUUUGGAUUUAUAUUAUGAUAUUAGAUAAGAUGAUUUGAGAUUGAGUUGGAAUAUGGAACUACUGCCUAUGAAUUUCUACAUUCAAUGGUUUCAAUGGCUUCGGCCGAAAUGAUUGUAGGGAUAUGGAUCUUGAGAUUAGAGAAUAAGUUAAUUGGUGAGUAGUGUUUAGUCGCAGAUAGUUGAGUAUAGAUGAUAUAGCAACAGUAAUCAUGAACUACUAGAGCUUGACUGAGGAAGUCCUUUUGUGACUGGAUACAGACUUUGGUAAUUACCAUUAGAGAGAAAAUAAGAAUAAAAUAACUAUUCAUUCAGUGUUUUUAUAUAAUCUCUCCUCUCUUCUCCUCGUUAUAUUCUCCGCCUUCCUAUUAUUCUAUUCUUGAAUCCACAUGCAAGCUCUACCGUGGUGCUCGUAAACUUCACAUUUUACCCUUUUAUUGCACUAUCUUUUUAUUCACAUAGAGAAUAGUGCAAGGCAUGAAAAUACAAUUUAUAUUCACCGCGAAGUGGAAUUUAAAAAAUUUGCCUAUGGCUCACAUGCUAUACGCGAUGGACUUUGGAAUGCAUAUUCCCCAUUACAUGUUAAGAGGUAUAAAAAUUAUGAUUCAAGAGGAACAUUAGAAUCAAUAUGGAUCAUUUUGACUACUACGAAUAAGAUUUAAUAGGAUUCAGAAAUGAAAUCUGCCAUAUCAGAAGCUGAAUCGCAUGCCAACUUUCUUGAGGCCAUAAUUUAGGCAUGCAACAUCCGAUCGAGAUAAUCUCUUUUUUUUUGAUGAAAAUCGGAUAACUUUUCGAAAUCUAUUUUGGAAAAUCUAAUCUUGUCAAAGUAAAAGAAAAAUUUGGCACAAAUUGUAUGAUGACAGAUCUCAUUAUUAUAUAUUUCAGUUUAUAGAUUCUCAAUGAAAAAAAAGAGAAACUAGACUCUAUUUUCAUCAUUUACUAUUAUUAUUAUUAUUAUUUUGAGAGGUUCAAGUUGAGUAGGUUGAUGAAAUUUUUCUUUCUUUCCGAUCGGAUCAAGAUGUAUAAAAGCAAUUUCAAAUCUCAAGUUCCCCAUAUAUGGAAAGUGAGCUUGAAGUGGAAACUAAGUCAUAUAUUGUGCUUAAUACACGAGAAUUAUCGGUUCUCCUAACCCCUUAUUUGUCGUUCUUCUAGAGUUUGGAUAAAGGUGAUGCAAGCCGGUUCUCAAUUAAGGGAUAGCGUAAAGUUAACGCAAACCAAUUCAAAUAAAGAGAUGGCAUAAAGUUGAUGCAAACAAAUUUCUAAUUAGUAUUGUGCAAACGUGAUGCGCAAAACCUAUGGCUAGAAACUAAUGGCAAUACAAACUGGGGGCGAUGUAAACCAAAGGCGGUGCAAAUAGAUUUCCAAUCAAGGACUGCAUAAAUGCAGUGCAUGCAAACCAACGGUGGUGCAAAACCUAUGGCUAGAAACUGGUGGCAACACAAACUAGCAGCGAGUAAACCAAUUUCUAAUCAUUAAAAAAAUUAAUCAAUUUCUAAUUAAGAUUACAAAAAGGCAAAGUAGCUGAUUCCUAAUUUCUAAAAUGCUAAAAUCUUUUUACGGCUCUUCUUGAAAGAUUCCUAUACAAUCAUCUAAAUUCAUGAGCUCAAAAUGCAAAUCAUUUUCUCAAAAAAAAUUUUGCCAAUCAAAUUGAAAUGAUAUAAAUAAAUAAAUAAUAUUAAUUGAAUAAAUAAAUAAUUCAGAUCCUAAGCUCACCCAUUAUAAAUAGGAUAUUAGUAACUACAAACUCAAAACAAGCCUCAAGAUUUCUUGACCACCUACAGAUCUGCCACCAGCAAUGUCAUGGCCUAGAGGUGAGCCUCUCCCUAUACCCAUCUCUCUAUCUCCUCUCACCGACUCCCUCUCCCUCUCUCUCAUGGCCUAGAGGUGUGCCUUAUGUUCCACUCUCACAUCACUCUCCUCAUAGCCUACCUCAUUUUCCCCUCUCCCACACUCUAUACUCUUCCAUUCCUUGGUAUCUCCACCCUCCUUUUUCCCUCAGUUAACCCUUAGUCCUCAACCCACCAAGCCCUAACCCUAAUCCUGCAAGUGGAUCAAAUUUCCAAUUCAAUGUAGAUCUGGACUUGGAUUAAAAUUCCAAAAAUCUACUAUUCCUAGCCUUCUUGCUCUGCACUUCUUUCUAUAUACCAUCAGCUCCUCUCCUCGUCAUGGUCCCACCUCAAGAACGAGAAUUUAAUGCUAGUAUUGAUAAUUAUAAAUUUGAUUUUUUUUCUUGACAGGUCCACCUUAAAAUGGCUAACUUCAUAGCUAAAUUUCUUGGCUUGGGAGGUAUUGGAAAAAGGUAUAUAUGAUUUUGUUUUUCUAUCCUAUAUUUCAAUGAUAUGUGAAGAAUGACUUUAUGUAAAUGCAAAAGUUGAAAAAAUCAUAAGGGGAAAAAAAACUAUGGACCUAAAAGUUUGAAUUUGUUUAUAAUGAGUAUAUGUAAUAUUUGAUUUGCUUACCUUAUUAUUUUUAUCUUAAUUUCUUUAAGCGGUUUAGAACAUUUUUUUCCUUAAAUUACUUUCACAUAUGCAUGUAAUUCUAGACCCCCCCCCCACACACACACAAAAAAAAAGAGAUUGAAGUCUGAUUGCUAGUGAUGGUGUUGUAAUCACCUUUAAUCUUCCCAAAUUUGUGACAAAUUCUCUACCUUUUUUUAGAAUUUUGAAUCUUCAUGACUAGACAAAUUGUUAUGAGAGACUGGAAAUGUGGCUAUGCUCACAUUCACAACUUUUUUUCUUUUUUUUUUGCAUUUCACAUAAAGUGGAGGAUUUACUUGAACUUACUAUAUGUAUAUGUGCACUCAUAUUAUAUUAUAGUGAGAAUAGACCAUCAUGGAUAAAAGGUGAUAUUAAUCAAGGAGGUUUGGCUUCCAUUACCCUUGCAACAAAGAGGUUCUAGAUGAAAACUAUAUUUGUGACAAACAGGAAUGUGAACUCCAACAUAUAGAGUACCAUAGACCAGGCCACUACUUGAUAUAAGUUUUUUGAGAAAAAAAUGACCCAAAAUCCUCUAUGGUGCGCUAUUUGCACUGUAGGUGUUGUGCAGUACUCAAUAACCACAAUCAGAGGAUGGAAGGCUAUCAAACAAGGUGCACUAUGUAUAACAUAUAAGGCUACCAUAUUUGAUGGUCGUCCAUCUCCUGAGGGUGACCAUCAAAUGCUGCACAGCAUCUGUGGUGCAAACUAUGCACUGCAGAGGAUCCUAGAAAAAAGAGACUUCACAUGGCUAACCCAGCUUAACCACCGCUAGAUCUAAAAAUCCAGGACAGAACAAUAUUUUGCAUGACAACAUAAUUUUUUGUUUUUAGAAGUAGUAAAAUGACACAAUAACAGGUGUGGUUUAGUUCUACUGCCAGGUGGAAAGUGAGUUGCCACUUCACAUUUACCUGCUAUUUAUAGCGGAAUUUUGAACAUUCUGCUUGCUAUCGUAUAUCUGAUGGUGCACUAAAAUGUUUCUAUGGUAUGGAUGUUAGUCUCAAACUCCAUGAUGCAUUGUAAAUGGAGACUCAUUUCCUCUAUUGAUACGGAUUUGAAACAUACCCCACAACAAAUGGAUAACCUCAGAGAAGUCCAAUUAAUAUUUGAACAGUUCAUAAAAUUGAACAAACUACUAACCUUUUGGGUUGGGCCUGAUUGUAUAUAAUAUUAGUUUUAUUAAUCCAGCCAUGACAUCAAUUUGGUGAACAAAAACUAACACCAAAAUAUAGAGAAAGAUGGAAAAUGGGAUUUACAUGCAAAUUUUUCAAAAUAUUUCCCAGUAUCUGUGCCGAGAUAACACUGCCAAUGAUUGUACUCUAUCUGUUUGGUUCUCGUUUUCUAGUUUGUGCCUCAGACCUAAUAGUGGUUGCAUCACCAUUAUUAUUGUAGGCUGCUCCACUGUACUUAUUAGAGAUGGCCCCACCAAACUCAUUGACGUCGGCAUUGGAAGAAUUGAGGAAUGGAUGGGUUUAGUGGAGGUCCCUUGCCAUGGCUGCCGCUCCUACUUUCUCCUUCAUGCUCGGUGCCCACAUGGUCUCACCAAAAUUGACAAAAACUUCCAUGGCACCGUCGAAACGAUUCGAGGCACCCCGGAUAUCCUCGCAGAACUUAAUGAUAUAAUGGCUGCCGCCAGCACUCUUAUAACCUUCAGCCAAUCCUUAAGAAAGAUGAUUCAACGUAAAUAUUGGCCUCAACUGAUAAUGGCUGCAACAAUCCCAUUCUUCCAGCAAGUCGCAGGAUUCAGCAUUGCAACCAUCUACACUGCAAGCUUGAUUCAAAACAUCGGUUUUGGUGAGAAUUCAUUACUUAUGUCAGCAUUGGUAAUAAGGUUAACAAGCAACAUCUCUGCUCUUGCUUUGAUGACUGUCGUUGAUAGAAUUGGCCGACGGGUAAAGUUCAUGGUGGGCGGCAUCCAGAUGCUCAUCUCGUUGGUGAUGGUUGGCAAAGCAAUGGCGACACAACUCGGCAGCGAUGAUGAGAUUAGCAGGAGCUAUGCAUACAUGUACACUUGGGUUUGCUUUUGUUUUGUGCUUAUCUUAUGACCUUCGGAUGGUCUUGGGGGCCUCUAGGAUGGUUGGUUCGACAUGAGAUUUUCCCACUAGCGGUCAAAUGAGCAAAGCGAAGCUUCAUGGUGACAAUACGGUUCGAGUUUGCAUUAGUUAAUGUGAUGGAGAUCUUUCCAGCUGUGCUCCACCAGUUUAUCCAUCUUCGAGGGAUGGAUUUCAUUUGUCCUUGCCAUGAAACGAAUGGAUGAGUAUGGUGGGAGCAUCUGUUUUGGAGAAGAUUGCCAAGGUUGCAGCAACACAGACCAGCUGUUCUGAUGAUAGCGCAUACGCAUGCAAUGUCGCCUCUGUAAUGACAGAAAUUAUAAGAUCUUGGCAUAAUUUUCUCAGCCACCAAGCUGACAUGAGUAGGAGAUAAACUUGCAUUAAUUUUCUAGGUGACUCGAUCGGAUUCCCACGUGGCAACCUCCAUGGGCCGAUUCUUCAACACUCAGGAGGACUGCCCCAACCAUAGCUUGUUGUUUUUGGGCUUUAGCCUUUCCAAACCAGGGUCAGCAAUUGGUUUGCUCUUGUGUAUCUUACUUGAACCAGGUUCAGGAGGCCCAACCGGCUUAGUGUAUCUUACAUGACCGGUUUGAAUAGAACCCGACACGAUUAGCCACCAACCGUGGACCAGACAUUGCUUUGUUUGUCUCCGAGCAUCGCCGCUGCCGUCAAAGAACAGCUCUCAAAGAGGCGACCAAUACGUCAGACCCCUUGCAAGUACUCAUACUAAAAAGUAGCCGUGGCUAUCCACAACAUUGUUUUGCGAUCCCAAUGCUUCAUGGGAAGAUCUAAAAGCUGAAUCAACAAAGCCCAAUAGCAGUGAUCAAAAAAACCUUGCAGCUUCUUGGAAAUUAACAAUACCCACGUGAAGAAAUUUCCCAAUCGAAGAUCUCUUCCAAGGAGCUCAAGCCUCCUCUAUUUUCUAUAAAUCACUCUUGUAAUUCAAAUCCAUUCAAAUUCAAUCACAGGUACCAUAAAUCCAAUCAUAAACGUCAAGAUUAGUUUAUGAUCGAUCCAAAUAGAUAUAUGUUACAGUGCUUCUGAGUCCACAUGAGUUGUGGAUCGAAUCUGCUUUAAUAUUAUUUUCAAUAAUUUAUGAUCUCAUCUAAAAAACUAGCCGAAAAAUAUUAUUUAGAUUUUUUGAUUCCGUAAUUUUGAUAUCCAAAAUCUAUCUGAUAUAUAGCUGGUGUGAGAUUAAAUACGCAUCCUUUUAGACUAUUAUAAGUUUAGAGAAAAUUGCUACUGUCCCGACUAAAGCCUGGCCACAACUAUCCUAUUGGCACCGAAUGGGUGUCAGAAUGCAGAAGGGUAGGAUUCACCAUCCAUUGAUAUUAAUUAGGUCGAAGGCUUGUAAUUGAAGGAAGGCUUGGUGACAGCAAAUGAUGUCAUCCAUUCUUUGAUUCAUGGUAGUGCCAACGUGGUCUACGUUCUUUACCUUUGUCCGAUUGUGCAAGUUAUUUUGGUCAAUUGCCAGCAGCCUUGGAAUUCUCUCAAGCACAUGUAUUUGAAUGACGAGGGAUCAUACGUACGUACAAACCCAUGUUUGACGAGGGAAAUGGAAUCCAUAUAUGCGACUGCUGCAUGGCCAACUUUCUCGAUCGUAUCUUUGAAUUUUACCCGAAUAUUCGAUGCUUGCUCCUCUUUGUCUCUUUCGAGCUGUGACAUCACUCCUUGCGACUUGUUCAUCCAACCAUUUGUCUUAAUUAAUAUGAUACAUGCAUGCAUGUUAUCAACAUUCGGUAAAUUAUAUUCUUUUUUUUUUGAAAAACAUAUGGUAAAUUAUAUUAUUACCAUAAUAAAUGGAAUAUGUAAUACAAAUAUAAGAUUAAUAUAUAUGUACAAAUGAUGAGCCAACAAGCAUAUCCAAAUCAUGUCAGGAAAGUCUUGAAAUAAUCACCUUAGAUGAAAUUAUAAUGAUUUAAUCCAACUUAACCAUACCCCUUUAACCGUACCCAGGUUCGCCCAGCCAAAAUCCUAAUCAUAAUUUGAUAUAGAUAAAAUAGGUCAGCAGCUUAAUUCACUGCAUUACCAUCUGUCGCGUGAAACUAGCCACUGUAACUGGGUAUACCUCAUGACUGCUAUUUAUGAAAUCUAAUAUAACUCUUCUUCCAGUUUUUGACUGCUCCAGCUCGCUCAGACAUGCUGCCAAAUUAGAUCUAACCCACCUCAUAAUUUUUCACUUUUAGGGGGAAAAAUACAAAUUUUUAACUGUUAUACAAAAAUUACCUCAUUAUAAGUUUCAGAAAUCAUCAGAUGUGCAUGAGCUAAUAGCUUUCCUAACUUGCUGAUUCAAAUAUAUCAAAUUUUAGUUCCUACACCUUGCCAUAUAUUAGUGAGGCAAACUGCUUAAUGAACCAUGGGGCAUCCCUCCUUUCAUUUGAUGUCUUAUAUCUCCUUAGAUUACACAUAUAAUAGCACCUUGUCCAUCUGCGCUGCAAGCAUGCCCAUGUUUACUUUUGAAAUAUGUUACCUGCGAUCCAUGAGCUUCUCCAUUCCAAGGAAUGUUGAUUUAAACUACCAUCACACCAAGAUUUCCAGCGCUGCAGGAACUAAGCUCGCUAUUGCUAAAUAAGUAGAUAAUGUUCUAAAGCACAGCCAAAUUUCCACUCUGCCGAAGCCAUCAACCUCAAUAAAGCAUAAAAUCAUCAUCAUAUUGCUUGAGAAGAAGCCUAAGGCCAGGGUAACAAUUUCAUGUCCUUCAUCUCUCCUCUCAUUUGUAUUCUUUAUCUUUUGGAUCAGAUUUGGUUAGAAAAUCUUAGGCUUUGCUACAGGGUUCCCGUAAGAUUACAUUAGUAACAUGCAUGGACAAACAAAAUCAACCCAAUUUUAACAAUAGCGAGAUAAGCGGCAAUAUCUAUAGACAGAAUGUUCAACAGCUGCCCAGAUGCUCUGGCGCUGGAUUUUUCCUAAGCUUUCUUUCAGGCAUACUCAUCUCGACAUUCAAAACGUUUCCCUUUAACCCAUAGUCAACUGGUCCGAUAUGCUCGUGGUAGAUUCUAUCUAGGUUUCCAUCCCAUUUGCCAAGCGGACAUCAGAUUGCUGCAAAAAUCGAACCAAGGAACAGAUAUGUUUAUCCAAACGAAUUACCUUGUGAGAGGCAUUUCCAAGUAGCUAACCCCCAAAUUGACCAUCUCUAUAUUUUAUUGUGAGAUCGCCUAACAAGGCCUCCUUUUCUUCGCAUUCGUCACCCCCAAAUCCAUCACCCACGCGAGUCCUGGUCUUCUCUCAAACAGGAAUCAUAUAUUAUGAUAAGUUCAUUAAAAGAAAAGAAAAAACAGACCACAGACAAGUCAAGCAAAAGAGGGAGUACUUUGAGUCAUCAGGGUUGCAUUCUGUCAGCAUCCUUUGCAUUGUUGAUAAAUGGAUCCCCAUCGCGGUACUUUGAGUCAUCAGUAAGCCUGAGGCAGGGCUGCUCACUUUCACCACUUUUGUUCAUCAUUUGCUCAGAUUCUUUGUCACGAGCACUUCGCCAUGCAGCAGUAUCACCGGAGAUUAAGGCCUAUAGGCCGGCGAGGGGUGCGACUUGCAUCUCACACCUACUUUUUGCGGAUGAUUGCUUGCUAUUGAUCCGCACGACACGAAGAUCAGCACAGACUAUUAACGGGAUCCUGGAGGAAUACUGUGGAGCUUCAGAUCAGAUGGUCAACUUAUCUAAGUCAGCCAUCAGUUUUAGUCCGCAGACCGAUCCUAGGGUGAAGGCCUCCAUCAUGAGCAGCUUGGGGAUUGACGAGCAGGAGGGGACUCUUAGAUACCUUGGGGUCCCGAUUACGGAUCAACACCUGUGGAGGGGGGACUGNNNNNNNNNNNNNNNNNNNNNNNNNNNNNNNNNNNNNNNNNNNNNNNNNNNNNNNNNNNNNNNNNNNNNNNNNNNNNNNNNNNNNNNNNNNNNNNNNNNNNNNNNNNNNNNNNNNNNNNNNNNNNNNNNNNNNNNNNNNNNNNNNNNNNNNNNNNNNNNNNNNNNNNNNNNNNNNNNNNNNNNNNNNNNNNNNNNNNNNNNNNNNNNNNNNNNNNNNNNNNNNNNNNNNNNNNNNNNNNNNNNNNNNNNNNNNNNNNNNNNNNNNNNNNNNNNNNNNNNNNNNNNNNNNNNNNNNNNNNNNNNNNNNNNNNNNNNNNNNNNNNNNNNNNNNNNNNNNNNNNNNNNNNNNNNNNNNNNNNNNNNNNNNNNNNNNNNNNNNNNNNNNNNNNNNNNNNNNNNNNNNNNNNNNNNNNNNNNNNNNNNNNNNNNNNNNNNNNNNNNNNNNNNNNNNNNNNNNNNNNNNNNNNNNNNNNNNNNNNNNNNNNNNNNNNNNNNNNNNNNNNNNNNNNNNNNNNNNNNNNNNNNNNNNNNNNNNNNNNNNNNNNNNNNNNNNNNNNNNNNNNNNNNNNNNNNNNNNNNNNNNNNNNNNNNNNNNNNNNNNNNNNNNNNNNNNNNNNNNNNNNNNNNNNNNNNNNNNNNNNNNNNNNNNNNNNNNNNNNNNNNNNNNNNNNNNNNNNNNNNNNNNNNNNNNNNNNNNNNNNNNNNNNNNNNNNNNNNNNNNNNNNNNNNNNNNNNNNNNNNNNNNNNNNNNNNNNNNNNNNNNNNNNNNNNNNNNNNNNNNNNNNNNNNNNNNNNNNNNNNNNNNNNNNNNNNNNNNNNNNNNNNNNNNNNNNNNNNNNNNNNNNNNNNNNNNNNNNNNNNNNNNNNNNNNNNNNNNNNNNNNNNNNNNNNNNNNNNNNNNNNNNNNNNNNNNNNNNNNNNNNNNNNNNNNNNNNNNNNNNNNNNNNNNNNNNNNNNNNNNNNNNNNNNNNNNNNNNNNNNNNNNNNNNNNNNNNNNNNNNNNNNNNNNNNNNNNNNNNNNNNNNNNNNNNNNNNNNNNNNNNNNNNNNNNNNNNNNNNNNNNNNNNNNNNNNNNNNNNNNNNNNNNNNNNNNNNNNNNNNNNNNNNNNNNNNNNNNNNNNNNNNCUCGUGUUGCCUACCUGGCCUACCAUUCCUGGUUGGACAGGAAUGCACAAGUCUUUGAGGGUUGCAGCUCGCCUCCGGAGGCAGUGGUGGCCAGGGCAUUACUGCAUGUGGAGGAGUUCCUUAGCACUGUUGUGAGUUCACCUACCGGGUUGGUCAGAGACAUUUGAAGUACCCCUUCUGCUCUUGUAGCGUCCAGAUAUAUUUUUGUAUCCUAGGUGCCCCCACCCCCUGGCUUCCUGAAGUUGAGUUUCGAUGGCAGUAUGCCCGCUGAUGGGAGAGGCGGUGGUGUAGGCUUCAUCAUUCGAGAUCAUGAUUUCAGACUAGUGGCGACAGCACAUGUUCAAUUCGUCGGUGGUGUGUGCUGAGCUCCGAGCUGUCUGGAAGGGCAUAUCCUAUGCGAGACGGACACUUGGUGCAGACCAGAUUAUCCUUGAGGACGACUCGGCCAUUGUGAUUGACUGGAUCAGAGGUCGGGAUCGUGCAGAUGAGGGCAGGCCGCUGCUUCUAGACAUUCGCAGACUCUUGCAGGCGUGUGGCACCCUUCAAGCUACACAUGUUUAAAGGAAAGCGAAUUGUUUAGCUGAUUGGAUCGCUUCUUAUGCGGCUCACCAUUCUGAAGGCUUUGUUUGGAGGAAGUGCAACACAGUGUCGAAAUCUCUUUCUACUUUGUUAUUUUCAGAUAUUAUUAGCCGUAUCCAUACUCGUAGGGUGUGAGCCAUGAAGAAGUUACGUACGAUGGGAGCUUCAUGUGGACCCAAAGAAACAAGUUGAUAAGAGUAGUGCUUUAACUUGCCCUUAUAUUAUUGUCCAUGAGCAUCAGCAUUUUCCAAAUUAAUAAUAAGACAUCGGCAAUUUAAAACUCAGACAACUACUACCGAACAGCCGACUCGCUGAGUCGCAUCCAGCCCCCCCACUUACAUUUAUUACCACGUCUCUUGCCGUGUCAGCGACCGCCGCGGAAAUAGUAGGGGUGAUGGUGAUAGAGAACUAAUGCUUCCAAUUAAAGGUGAGAGAACGACCACUACCAACCGAGCGUGGGUCAGAUCCUUCGUAAAUUUAUAUGAACAAAUGAUUAGCAUGGAUACGAAGAAGAUCUGCUAAUAUUUUAUACUUGGUCUCUCCGUAGAUUAGCCAGCGAAUCCCACCAACUGAUCUCAUGCAGUCCAUGGGCACGAGUCGCCGAGAUUAUAAACAAUAGUUUAUGGUAGCAUGGAGAACACAGAACAAAAAUAAUUUAAAAGAAGAAAAAGAGGGGGGACAGAGAGAAGAGAAGGCAGCGCUUUACAUGAUAAUCCUAAUAAAGAAGAAAAAAAAACUUGAUAUUUAUAUAGAAUUUUUCAUUCUUAAUUUUUUUUUAGAGAGAGUUUUUGACCGAGAGUCUGAGAAAACCGCCCCCACCUCCUCUGAUUAGAUUUCGUGGAGUAUUUCCAUAAUUAAAAUAGAGGAAAGCCCGAGAAAAAAGUGUAGCUGCUCGAACUAAAUAUGAUGAGAAAGAUAGGCCAAGGAAUUCCCCGUCAAAGAAGAAAAGCUGACGGAGCGUCUCCACCAUCACUCACCCAACCAUCAUCAUCAUCAUCGACAGAACACGUAGACAUCAUUCCAUGGUAUCCGACCGCAUCCUCCCACCGAAGAUCAUACAACCAAUAUCCAUCAUCGGCUCCAAAAGAACCACGGCAUGGCAGCUAGUUAGGAUGAUGAUUUUGGUUUCACUACAUCCAGUUUAACUACGCUGUGGCGCGGCAUCGAGAAAGGAGGGGCGAAGCGGCAUCGGGGACCAGGGAGUCGGUGCGGCGACGGGGGCGGCGGCGGCAGGGGCGAUGGGAAUCGGACGGUGGUGGUGGUGGUGGAGGAGGAGAGGAUGGUGAUCGGGCUGCGGCGGCACCGUGGACGGUGUGGAAACGGUGGCGGUAUUGGUGGAGUUGGAGACACGCUCGCAGGAAGGACACAUGGUGAGGGUGGUGGGAGGGGUCAUGUGCAUGUAGAACUGGGGCGAUAGCUUCAAAGCUCUCAGCUCCUGGACUUCCUUCUGGAGCCUCCUGUUUUCUUCUGUGAGAUUCUCGCAGCACCUCUUGAGGAACUCGCAGUCCACCUCCGUCUGCUUCAGCUUCGUCCUGAAAUUAAUUAGAACCCCAGCUCGAUCCGUUAGCAUCAGAAUAUGGACGCAUUUUAAUUAAUUGUUCCAGAAAUGGCACCCGAUCCGCUGAGACAAAGCAUCUUACCUCGCUCUUCGGUUCUGGAACCACACUUCCACCUGUCUCGGUCUCAGGUUGAGCUGCUUGGCCAGCGCCAGCUUCUGCUUCUGUUUUCGUUGGAACAAAGAGAAACACGCAGGGUCAUUCUCGGAAGAUUACAAAUUAAGUUUCCGCUCGUUCGCAGACUAGCCCUAGGAAGAGGGAGAGGGGAUGCCGACUUACAGGGUUGAGGGUGUUGUGUUCUUUGAAGCUCUCUUCGAGGAUGGCGGACUGGUCCUUGGAGAGGCGGAGUUUCUUGCGGGAGCCGUCGCCGUCCUCCUCGUCGGAGACCCCCCGGGAGCACGCGCGCUCCGCCUCGUGCUCCUCCGCGCCGCCGCGCUUCCCGCUGACGCUAGAAACGGUGCUGUUGGGCGACGACGCCCCCGCCUCCUCCUCGCUCUCCCGCUCCGCCGCCGGCGCCCGGUUCACGUCGAUCCCCCUCAGCAGCGGCCCGUCCGUUCUCCUCUCUGCAACCCAAAACACAUCGAAUCUUCAGAACCCAUGCAGCAAACUCACAGAUCCGUGAUUCCACCCCGUGAAAAUCCUCAGAUCUGGAAAGACAAGCGCAGAUCUAGAUGGAAAAGCUACCCGAAGAGGCGAGGAGGUCGCUCCAUUGGGACUUCAGGAACGGCGACGGCGGCGGCGGCGCAGGGGAGGAGGAAGGCGGAGGAGGCGGCAUGAGAUUGAGCUGGAGAGCAAACCGAGUCUCCGACGAGCUCAGGCUGAGGCUGAGCCCCAGAUCCUCCUUUUCCACCAUCAUCUUUGACCAAGCUAGAUAGCAACAACCCCUUUAUCUCUUUACCUUUCCUCCUAUCUUUCUCUCUUUCUCCCAAGAAAGCUGAGGAUUAGGGUUUGUGAAGGAAUUGCAGAACAAAAAAGGAAGGGGAGAGGAAAAGCGGUGGAACAGGGAAUGGGAGGGGAGUUGGAAACGGUUUACAAAGAGACUUUUGGGGAUUUUUUUUUGGAUGGGAAGAGGUGCAGGGGAGGGUGGGGGUUUUAAAUAGCGGUCUCUUCCUUCAAUCAUGACCUGUGUCAGGGGCUCCCCAGGUCUCGCAAUCGCGGCUGCCCCCAAAACCUAACCCUCUUCCGCAACCCUUAACCCCAGUUAUCCGUCCUUGGCCCAUGAAAAACCCGUGGCUCGCUUCUCCAUCGACCGAGCCCCAGAAACCGGAAGCGGCUCCCCCACUCUUUGGCCUUUCGCUCUUCCAUCAAGCCAGUAUUGGAGACUUGGAGUAUUGGAGAGAGAGAGAGAGAGAGAGAGGNNNNNNNNNNNNNNNNNNNNUAGUUAGUAGAGAGAGAGAGAGAGAGAGAGAGAGGAACGAGUUUCUCGCUCUCGGGCGCAUGAGGAGUGGCAGGGCAGUGGCGUGAUGUCAGGAGGGGGGCGCGCACAGCCCUCAUGAUUGCAAUACAUGGUACCAAUCCAUGUCUAUCAUUGCGUUUGAGUUGUGCAAUUAUUGCCGCUCUCGAUGUCGAUACAUGAGAUGGGAUGACGAGGGAGAGGGAGCACGGGUGAGCCCCCACAGGCCACAGCACCCAAGGCCAGUUCACGCUCGCCCAUAUCAUCGUGUCCCGCAGGGCGCCAGCAUCGGCUGCUUCAUGCUGGGUCCCGGCCGUGACCCCAUGCACCAUCAUCCCAUCAUGAUCAUCAUCAUGCCAUCAUCCAUCGACCGUUUGCCCGCUGCCAUCAAGAUUAACCUUCUAUCAUCAUCGCCCCUCAGACUGCGCGGGUUACUUUAAUCGAGCAUUCAAGAUUUACUUGGAUAUAUGCGACACGACAUUUCACAUGCUUUUUGUUGUGCUCGACCCUUCAGCCAAUUUCAACUGUAUAUAUUUCAAAUAUCUAGUCUGUAGAUUUUUCGUUGGUGAUUUUUUGAUUUUUGGUGGGCUUUUUUUUUUCCGUAACUUCUAGAUUUGUCCUCAAAUAAGAUAUGAACAAAUAUUUACUAUGUAUAGUACAAAUACCUUCGGGCAUUGGGUAAAAUUUUGUUGAUUAAUAAGUGCUACGGUUGCUAUAAAUCAUUAUGUCAUUUAGCUCAUUAAUAAAUCUCCACCAUAAAGGUGGACAUUUAAUAGAUUUGUUUUUUUAUAAUUUAAUGUCAUGAUCAAGUUGUUAAUUUUGUUUUCACUGCAAACUUUACCAUGUGCAGUGAAAAUGUAUAGUUAGGAGGGUAUUAUUUUUAAAAUGCGUAUGAAAUAUUGUGCCUUGCUUCCCUUCUAAAUAUAUUCUUUUAGUAAUUAUAACUAUAAAUAUAUUCUCUCUCUUUUUUAUUGUUGUUUGUUUAUUGUGUGUGUAUUUCUAGGAUGUUUGGUGUAAUCUUCUUCAAUUUGCUAAAUACACGUGGAAUAAUUACGUUACACCAACCAUUAAACCUCUCCCUCUCCCGUCUCUCUCUCUCGUGAACGCACGAUCUCAUGCACCCGCUGAGGACACCGCCAAUAAUGACCCGCGCUAACACCUGCUAAUAACAACAAUAACAGCUUUUGUUUGCAUGAUAUGAUUGUGGAUGUCCGUUGUCGACACUCCCCGCGUACUCUUGACGCUUCCUCCGUCCGUUUCCCGGGUGGAAAUAAAACCGCCAAAAGAAUCGGUCCUCGCGGAUAGCCCCGGUAACCCACCUCCUCCGGCACGGUACGUGUGAAGGGCCCUUCACUAAAUGCCCCUCUUUAAUGGAAGCCACCACCCCAAGCUAAACUUCGGGCGUAACUCCCAACGAGCCCUUAAUAAAGGCCUUCGCGGACAUCCGGCGUGGGGUCACCUGAGCCGGAUCCGAGGGCUCGCCACUUGCACUGGAGAUAGGGCCCACGUGGAUGUACAAACCGAGCCGAGCCGAUUAAGCCGAGCGAGGCUCGCUGGGGGGACAGGUUGGGGUGGGGGUUCACGUGGAAGCGGGAGGGAAACCAGGGCGAACUCACGUGGGCCAACAUGUCGUGCCCCAGCACGUGCGAACACACCACGGAAAGACGUGACACGCGGGGCCCACCGAUCCCGGUCGUGCGUGUCAUGCUGUCCUCCCAGCCCCCGACACCCACGCCCCGCAAUCAUUGGCCCCCUACUUGUACCUCCCUACUGCCGCUUCCCGGAAUGCCCCUCCCUCUUAGGAUGCCAAUUAUUGCCUGGAAAUAAAAAGAGCUCAUCACCGGUGCAAGGGAAGCGCCCAGCUUUUGGUCUUUUUCCUCAUCCCCUUCUUGCAUUCUCACGGUCAUGAUGUCUAUGUGUGGUAUAGGAUGACUCCGAACUUGACAAGAUAUCCCAUGCGCUUGUAAGCGUCUGGCUUUAGAGAGAUGAUUAAAGGCAAAUUAAUGAUAAUUUAACAAAAUAUAAUGUAAUUUAGGGAAUAAUGUAUCGCUUUGAAAAGUUUAUUUAUCUGAUAAGCAUUUAUAGAUGGUAUAUAAUAGCGCUGGUUCUCCAAUCCCAAUCUAUUUCAAUUUCGUUUGUGUUGCAACUUAAUUAGCUCGAACAUGCUAAUUUUUGAGCCGGACCAAGUUGUUUUGUAGAUAUGUUGGUUCUUUAAUUGAUAUCAGCGUUCCUCCAAUUUUGUCAUUCAAGUAGUUUUGGCCAAUUUGUUUCUUCUAUCGAGCAUCAAUAUUUGGAAGAUAGUGCUUUGGUCAGGUGCUAAUUAUUUAGUUGAAUAAUAUUAUGUAUGCACCUCUAGAUUCUUUGCACAAAAGCUUACUCAAUAACAUAAGGGACAAAUAAAAAGUAACAAGCGAUGUAACACAAAAGCGAACCCAUCGAUCAAAAGUUUGACGAUGAUUGAUUUCUGAAUUUGACUAUCUUAGAAGCAUCCUAUUUUGUAAAGUUCUUCCUAGUGGGAGAAUGAAUAGCAUUGUUACAGAAAACAUGGAACAUUGUUCCAUGGAAAUUUAGCAGUUGAGCUAUCACGCUAUCAUUAGGGCCACUUAAACUAUGUACAAACUUAUUCUGAUGCAGACAAUCAAGAGGUUAUAUCUUUAUUUUUUCAAAAAUAUCCUUUAAAUAAUUAAUUAAACUUUCAAUUCUAUAUUCAAAAUUUUUUACCAUCAUAACUUUUAAUAACAACAAAGGUAGAACAUGCAUUGAUUACUUAGAGAUCUCUACGUGACAAACAAUGACUCUUCUGCAAAUAUUCUUAACCUCUCAACUAUUUUAUAAUAGAGACAGGAUUCAAACUAGGAUCUUUGAAUAAUACUAAUGAAAGAUAUUACUAAACUUGCACCUUUGAUGGGUAUUAGCUUUUUUGUUAGCUAUGGCAAAUAUGGAUAGAAUUAAAUUCGUUCCACGACACGACAAAUUACUUGGCUUGCAACGGUGCAAUUCUUUUAUCCGAUUACUCCGCGCCACUUGUUUUCUUGCGAUACUUGCAGCGGGUCUCCCCCCUCCAUUAACUUUUUUUUCCAAGAAGGGAGAAGAGGUAGGGGCAGUCCCGGAGGGGUGGAGGGGGGUUGAGUGGUUAAUAAUUAUGAGGAGGGGGCAGGGGGGAAUGGGGAUCCCUCCUCGGAACCGGUGGAUUUGAUCCCGGCAAGAUGUCGGGAUAGUGAUGAUUAAGUGUGCCCCCACGAGUGCGUGCUAGCUGUCCCACGUGUCCCCCUAAUUAUUACCUUCACUACCCGACAACUCUUGUCAUCGGACGGGGAGAGAGAUAGCCAACCCAACUGGUAUCCGUACGAGACUUCCUCCUCUCUCUCUCUCUCUCUCUCUCUUCGCCAUGUCGACCCGCACGUCCNNNNNNNNNNNNNNNNNNNNNNNNNNNNNNNNNNNNNNNNNNNNNNNNNNNNNNNNNNNNNNNNNNNNNNNNNNNNNNNNNNNNNNNNNNNNNNNNNNNNNNNNNNNNNNNNNNNNNNNNNNNNNNNNNGUGGUACCGUCGCAAAUAUACCCAUCGUUGGAGUUAUUUGUACGUGAGUCCAUCAACUUGCGGUUAUUUUAUUCCGCGCCCGUCGGGCGAACGUGGAGUGCCGGGGGACGACGACAGCGAGGCGCACGUACGAGCCCGGGGACCCCGCACGUGGGUUCGCAAACCCCCUGGAGAUUUUUUUGGGGGGGGGGGGGGGGGGAGGUGACCGUAAACCGUGAAAUAAAUACUAAUAGGAGAAAUUCUAGCAGCUCAUGCGUGGCUCUCUGAUAGAGCUGUGAGAUUGGAGUAGAGAGAUCAGGACCGUCGGGUUGGGGGGAUUUGUUUGGGACAGGUGGUUCCGGCGAGAGAUGCUGGUAUUUGGAGAUGUAGAGCGCACGUGCGGGGAUGGUCCGGGUCUUCGGGGAGUGGUGCACGUGUCUCGUGGGGCCUGGUGAGGUGGCUAUCGUAGUUGGGUUCGGUUCACAUGCGAAGGUACUCCUCGAUCGGACACGGGAAUCCAAUGCUGGGGCUCGCCGUUUGGGUCGCACGUUGGCCGUAUCGGUAGAAGGAUGGGAGUGAGUGGUGAAUUAUUGGAGAUUGGUUAGGCUGUUUUAGUCAAUUAAAAUGUGAAGUGGGCCAAGAUUGAGGGGAUGCAAUUAGGGCACGGCCGACUCUAUCCUUGCAGCUGAUGGCAACGUCCCAUUGAUUUUUUUUUUUACUGCAACAAAUAACCCAUAUAAUUCUAACUUAAAUCCAUAAAAAAAAAAAAAUGAACUAGACAGGUUCCUCUUAUUAGUCCAAAAAAAACUCUCCAAAAUAAUUUACCGCAAACAAAUCCACCCAAUAUGUAUCUCUAUUUUAUUCCUUUAUAUUUGUUCCUUUGUAGAUAUGCUUGGUCUGAAAAUAGGAUGGGCCCACCAAUUUUGGAAAACAAGAUAAUAGAGUGGCCUGGAGAGUUAUGCAAAACUUAAUUAUUUACUACACACACACACACACACAUAUAUAUAUAUAUUAUGUGUGUAUGCGCGCUUUACGAUAUAGAUAAUUUUAUAAUGGAAGGGAGAUGUUUUUGCCUAGAAGAAAAUAAUUAGGCUAUGUGAAACUUAAUGUUUUCUUCUUUUGACCUCAAGCACCAUUUUUUUUUAAGUGAUGUAGUUCCUUCAAAGAUUAAUGAGGAAAUGAAGCUUACAAAAAUAAUCCGACAAGUAUUAUUAGAUGAACACAGAAUUGCUGCUAUUUGAUUGCAAGGUUUUGACGUGGAUUAUUGACACAGAGCAGUAGAUUUUCAUGAACAUCAUUAAUUUCAGGAGAAAAUGAUUAGAUAUGAUUAACCAUGCUGAACAGCAUAUAGUAAUCGCAAUGAUUAAUUAUGAUAACAUAUAGCGAGGAUGUCAACAAUGAUUAGUUUUGAAUGAUUAGAGUCUGUAGUUCCUUUGGAACAUGGUAUCAUGCACUUCUUAAAAGUGGAGGACAAGUAUGUCAAUACAUAACAUUAUCACAUCAAAUUACAUAUCUCCAUGGAUCUAAAACUAAGCUGCUUGUAUAACUUGUAAGAUCCCCAUAAACGCUUUCCAGAGUGACAUAAAAUGUACAAGAACUUGCACAUGUUACUGAAAUCAACCUAUAGCCCAAUGUAGAUUAGGCUAAGUAUUGAAUAGCCAUUGUGGAGCCAACUCAUGCGAACUUAAUAAUUAUCGAAUAACAUCUUGAGCACCUAAAUGAACUUGAUCAAUCCAAUAUAAUAUAGAAAAACAAUUUUGGCUUAAUGAAUCUAAUAAUAAGUCAGAUUUUCAACCACGAACUAGCUAACGCUAUAAGCCAAGAAAGACAUAUAUUGUUUGUAUCCCAUGCUGUGCAGCUAAAUCUAGAUAGAUGCGAUGCUUGGAAUCACCUCACCCAAUCUUGAGUCAUAUUUUAAGUCAUUGCACUUUACAUAACAUACCAUAACAUAAGAUGGAAUAACAUAAUAUACAAUAUAAUAGAAUAUAAAAUAAUACAAUAUAAUAUAACAUAACAUAACAUAGCACAACAUAAUAUGAUACGACGUGACAUGAAUAACAUGACAUAAUGUAGUGUAGAUAAUGAUUCAUUUUGUGCAUAGAUUCGCAUAUGAUUGUCACUGCAUUACCACCUAGUUUAUUCUUACUUUGAACAUACCUAUAUUUACCAAGUUAUAUCAAUGACAAAAAAAAAAAAAUCAAAUUGGAGUCUUUAGUAAUACAAUAUGAGAAAAAGAAUUGGUGAUAGUGAUGCUUAGUCAGUCCAUUCCCCAUCCCACCCCCAAGUUGCGGUAUAUUCAAUGCUUGCAUGUUGGAGGUUUUGAAUUCCCCAUGAUUAGCAGGGAUAAUAUAAAAUGUGGGAUGCAAUCCCAUGUUUCUAAGCAAUAUUCAAAGCUAAGCGAUCUGUCCCUUAUCAAGUGUAGUUUAGUAUAUAAUAAUGGCUCUUUUAAGUACGUUCUCACUGCUGUUCCUCAAUCACACUGGGUUCCCACACGUGCCGUCGUCAUUUCUAACCAUUUCUUCGAUGAUGCUGUCUCGCCGGCUGCUACGACCUUGUAUCUUUUUCAACGUGGAUUUUAUUCGUUGUUUUAUCUUAAUAAUAUAAUGAACUGUUUACUGUGUAAUGCCGCUUAAGAUUCCUUAAACACAGCUGGUAAUGGUACCGCUUAGACAUGGUUAAGUAAAAUAAUUAGCAAAAUAUCGGAUGGAGAUUGAUCUUAGAGAUAGCAUUUGCAUGUAAUUUUUACCGUUACAUCUUUUUUAUUUUUCACUUUCUCCGACAGUAAUAAAUGUUUGGUGUCAGAAGCUUCAAAGAUUUUGCAAAUAAUUUUAAAAUAGAAGAGUUUCAUGAUUCAUUUUUGUCCAAACUAGUCCAAUAUUUUCUUAGAUUUUGAAAACAAAAAAUAGAAAACAAAAUGUUUUUGAAAAUUUUUAGAAUUAGUAACACAAGUUGUAUGCUUCUUGUUGUUAUGUUUUAUCUUGUAGACAAGACUUUUUUACUUUGAGAGAGGCAUGAAUGACCCAUCCAAGAUAAAUUAUCCAUGUGUGGAUAUACUUCGAAAUGCACUACUCAAGAAUUGGACCCAGAACCUCAUCAAGAUGAGGAGGAAGGUGACUGUGGGAAUAUUGCUGAAUUCAAUUCUACGAACAUUGAAUGCGUCGAAAAAAGGCUAUUGUGAUCGCAAAGAAAUUUUUCGUUCAGUCACAAUCAUGAUGCAUGUCUUUUUCAUUAUUUGUAUUUGUGACAUGAAACCAUGGGUUUUAUAUUCUAGUAGUCUUUGUUUAAACUCCAUUAGAAGAUCAAGUAAGUAAAUUAUCACAAAGAAGAAGGGCAGUAUGACUUUUCUCGAGGCAUUUAAACAGUUUCUUGGAAGAAUGAACAUAUGCUGUAAGUUUUUUAUAAGGAAACCAUACCAACUUGCUCUAAUUGUCUGCUGAAAGAACUUUGCUCAAUAGAAUUAAUUGCAUGCAUGGGUAGAAAAGCUCGAGCCUGUUCUUUAAUUAUUGUGAUUAGGUGGCAAGGGAACCGGAAUUUUGGGAUCCAAUUAUGACUUCCAUGAAUUAGGGAGCAUGCUGCCAUAAGUGCAUGGCAUGUAGAUUCUAACAUCCUCGGUGAUAGGUUCAUUUUGAGGUCCACCAUGGCCUUUUUCUAAGAGGUCUAGUCUCUGGGUGGUUGUUACAACUACAUUUUUGACAAACAUCUGCAUAAUUUUUGGAAGGAAGAAAUUUUAAAACUUCUGACUCCAACUUAAUGAGAAGCUAUCCGUUGGUGCAUUUGGACAUCCAUUCACCAUGGGACAGCCCGCGAUUUCCUGCGCUUAGGGUGCCAUCUCAUGUACCAUGGAGGAGACCACACAAUCAAAGGACCCCACAGCAUCUUCAAAUCAAGGAAACUUCAUCCCUCUACCUCUUCUCUUGCAGCUAGCUUGAUGGGAUCAUGGAAGUAGAACAGUCUGCAUUUUGUCAGCAUUUCCACAUGCUAUGAGCCUCCUAUUAAUGCUUUAGAUUAUUGACUUAAUAUUCAUUACAGCCUUGUAAUAUUCAUUUCCACAUUACUUAACCUUUCACAUAAAACAUUGGAUUCCUAUUAUAUGUUUUUCGUUUCUACGGUAUUAAUUUGUUUCAUGGACUGAUGACAAUUUUGGACUCAUUAUCUUCGUACCAUGUAAGGUGGAAAGAAGCUGACUUCAAUCCUUCAUGGCAUUACUGAACUCAUUAGGCCUGGAAAGUAAUCAAAGAAAGCUCUGGCUAGAUCAUGAUUUAAAUUUUUAGUACCUAUAUAACGUAUUGGAGCUUCCUUUCAUUCACCCCCCCCCCCCCCCCCAAAAAAAAAAAAAAAGAAGGGAUUAUUCCAUAUGUUACAUGCAAAAUGAGUCUGCUUGCAUGCUGGUUCUUGGCUUUUCUUAGAACUAGCUUGAUAUUGGUUUUGGCUGGAAAGCCUGAAAUUUGAAAGCCUUAUGUUCUAUGUUUUUUAAUGAUCUGCGGAUAUUUUUAUGGAGAUGUGAAGAGAAAUGAAUGUACUAUGGUGCUAGUUCUCGAAAGUUGUGUGUAAGGUAAAAACAUGAAUUGAAAAGUCUUUGAUCUUCACAUGAUCGUUCGCUUCAUAAAUUAUUUCAUGUUUCUUUGGGUUUACUGAUUAAUUAUCUGAAUUUUAUUUUUUGAUUUAUGAACAACAAAUAAUUUAAAUCUGAUUGGUUUGGAACUGAUUCUGCAUACUGUAUAUAAGGCAAGCCCUUUGAAUUUUCAUAUUACUCUGUCAAGAUGUCAUCUUCCUUUGGACAUUCAUCAUUUUCCCUUGAUUUCUUACGUUUCCUUUGACAAUCUAUUCACACGUUAUAAUACUGUGAUGGUAUAAAGAAUUGUUUUGACAAAAUUUGGUGAACAUGUCCAUACUACAACUACUAUAUAAGUUUCUUGUGUGGUAAUCAGGUCAGUUCAUCCUCAAAGGUUGGAGUUUUAUUAGAUGGGCUACAAGAUAAAUUUUGGUUCUCAAUGUCAAUAGAACAGCUAAUUGUACACCUUGCAUCUACUUUUUUUCGUUCUUUUUUUUGUGCUUAAACUGCAUGUCUAUUUAAAUUGUAGCCUAGCUUCAUAAAUCCCUUUACAUGUUCUAAUAAAAUAUUAUUGCUGUGUUGAUGGAAUAAACUAAAUUUUAGCAACUCUUUUUGCAUCGAUAGUGUUCUUGCUAAGCAUGCUUUUCGAUUUCUACAUCUGGUGCAGGCCGAUGAUGUAUUCACAUCUAUGAACAGCACCAACGAAUGAAAGAUUGGAGGUUCUGCAUUUAAACACGCAUCUCUCUCAAAAAAAAAAAAGAGAGGAAAAAGUCUUAAGGUCGAUGUUCUGCAAAAUAAUUCUGUACUUGUCCUUUCCAUAUUAUCAGAUCUAUUGCAGCAAACUUUGCCAAACUGUUAGUUAUCAUGUCAUCUUAUAUGAGCAUUGUAUUAAGUAGCAACAUGUAAAGGGACUGUUAUGAAAACUUUUUUUUAAUUUAUAUAUGGUUAUUCUUCUUUUUCUUGAACAGGGUUUUCAUUCAAAUUAUCAUAUAUUCAUUAUUUUUGCCCUGUAAAUGAAUCAACCUUCAAAUAUUUUGUUCAAUACAUAUCCUUUUAGUUGGAGAUACUUUCCUUGAGCCUUCAAGCUUAUACUUCCUUUCAGCACCAUCUGACAUUAGUUGUUGAUUCUGGCUAAUGUAAUCAGGUUUACAUGCACCAUUGGUUGCCUAGAAGUAUUGCAUACUAUGUGCAAGUGCUAUCAGAUUACUUCAACAGAUUUGAGUUGUACAUUCUCUUCAUUAAUUAGUCUCCACGCACGUGUUGGUGCGGUGGCGUGUGCUAGUUUAUAUAAAACUAUGGAUGUUUUAUAGCUAGAUUAAAUGUAAAACCAAAGCAGAGUUUAAUUUAGUUUUUUGUGUACCCUCAAUCAAAUGGUUUAUGCCUGCUUCCAAUGUUCCAUUAUCUUGGUCAGACCAAUAAUAUUGAAUUAAUUCGUAGCAGUAGUUUGCAAGUCCACAAACUUAAUGAGACUGAUUAUGUAAUUAUAACAGAAUGCGAACACCAGUAGCUCAAUGGAGGCACCCCAUUGCUUGUUUGUAGGUCAGGGGUCCGAUUCUCUUGAGAGGUGUUAUCCCUCGAGAAGAUUCGCCCCAAGUAUCACACCAAUCCCUUAUACGUCAUACCAUGUCCAAAUUCCUAUUUUAGAUGAUCAAUAUUUUGCUCACCUUAUACUAUAGCAUCCCCAAAGGAUGAAAACUAAAAACUUGGUAAAGAAGGAUGUACCAUGUCUGCAUGAAACUGUCUGAAAACCGCUGUCUUUUUCAGAGAUGUGAAGACCACUGCUGUCUUUUGAAGAAUAUUUCUUAACAUAAAGGCCAAUAGAAUUACUUCCUGUAUAUACAGCAACAGAUUUAUCUAAAUUCAAGGCAAAACUUUAUAAUUCAAUCUUCUUAUUGGGGAAAAUCCAAUUAAAUAGGUCAUUGAUCCAGCAAGAAUGUUCAACAGAUGAUUGCUACAAUUGGAAGCCAUAUAUUGUAGUCCAACAGCAGCCAAUGAUAUUGCACCAAGACUGCUAGCUUAUAUAAAAUACAAAUGAUGAGAGCUCAUUUGCCACUCUUCGCAGCAUAAUAAGUAGCAUUUUUUUAAUUAAAAAAUAAAAAAUUAAAGAUACUGAUGUAGUACUUGUAAAGCAUAAAAAAAUGCAGACAGAAUUUCAGUAAUCAUAUAAUGGAAAUGAGUUUCUCUGAAAAAGGUUGAGUCCCAUUAAUUUUCUAGACAUCUGCUUUUGCUGCAGAAAAAUCAUCCAAAAGGAGCACUCUCAUAUAGUAUAAUUUAUACUUCUUAGUCAUGUUUGCUCAGACAUAUCGGAUGGCUUGUUUAGAGAGUCAAUACAACCGCAUCAGAGAGAAAUAUACAUCUAAAAACAAUAGUCAGACUUUUUAAAAGACAAUUUUUCACCCAUAUCACUGUCUAAAUUGUGUAUUACAAGAGAUAACAAGGAAACAAGUUCAGCUUGAUCCACAAGAACUAAUAACACUAUGACCCACCUAAGCCACUUGCUUAUUUCAAUGCUUUGAGCUGUUUCACAGAUUAAAAUUUUGCUUGGCAUAUAUCGGAUGUUACUCUACUUUGAGCCCUUCUAUCCUACUAUGUACAGCUUGUUUCAUUGCGUCAGUUGUAUAAACACUGUUUUGAAACUAUUAGCACUUCAAAUUUGCAAUGAACCUUGUCAAUGACCUUGCAGUGAUGCCGAAACAGGCUUGAAGGAUCUCUACCGAAGUUCUCCUGAUUGGGUGAACCAUAGCAAUGACUUUCUGAACUGAGCUUUGCAGGUCAUUGAGUUCUAGACUUCCGGUCCUUAAUAGCAGAAAGAAGGGUCUGAUUAGGUAUCAGAUCUUUAUUAGGCAAUGGUAAAUUUGUCAUUGGAGACUUGUCAUUUGUUCUGAGCCAUGUCUCGAUCGCAUUUCGGUUGUAUGUAUACCCAUCAGAAGCAAUGCAGGGAUCAUCCAUCACCCUCUGUGAAAAAAGUUCAGGUUUAACUAUUCUCGUUUGAAGCAGUUACAAAAUAAAAAUUGAGUAUAAGUAGAAUAAUGAGAAUAUAAAUGAAUACAUAAAGUGCAGGAUACAUGAGAGAUAGAAAUACGUACCUUUAGUAGUGGACAGAUGAAAUAACUUGGAGGAAUAGAUGUGGCUUGCCGUGCCAGGUCGUGGGCAUUGUUGGCAAAAUCUUUUAGUCUCUCAAGCCAUGGAAGAACCUGAUCCUUCAAGUCAGGCCUGUCCUUGCGUCUCAUUUCCAAACAACUCAGGCCAAGGAAAGCCAGCUCCUGAGUCUCCUCCGGAGGCCACUGUCCUGCUCGAGAAUCCAGAACAUCCAUUAAGCAGCUGCCUUGCAAUGCAUUUUCCACAAUGUGAGCCAGCCCCAUGGGUGAUUUUGCAGUUAGCAACUCCAGGAUUACCAUCCCUAAGGCAUAGGUAUCUGACUGUGGUGAGACCAAACCAGUUCUCUGGUACUCAGGGUCUAUGUAGAAGAAUGUACCAACAGGAGCAGUGUCCUUGCACGAUGUAUACACAGAAUAAUCCACAGAAGGAAGUAUUGUGGAAAGACCUACAUCACCAACCUUGCUUACAAAGUUACCAUCAAGCAAGAUGUUUUCAGGCUUAAGAUCCCGGUGAAUAAUAGGUUCUGGUUUUGAGUAAUGUAGGAAGGCAAGAGCCGAGGCAAUUUCCCAAGCUAUUCUGUAACGGUAGAACCACGGAAGUGGGGCUGUACCAUCUUUAGAUUGUAACCUGUCUGCAAGGCUACCAUUUUCCAUGUAUUCAUAAACCAGGCAACGCCUAUCAGGACAUGCACCGAGCAGAAGCAGCAAGUGAGGAUGACGAAGUCUACCCAAAACUUCAAGCUGGAAAAAGAAAAAAUUGUAAAGGUUAUCUUUUCAACUUCCAAAUUGAAAUUUUCUCCUUUUCUUUUCUUUUGUACUUUUAAUAGCAAGUUUUUGGAAAAUCAUAAAGCAAGAGAAGCUUCAGUAAAUGCAAUCCCAUGAUCCGAAAUUGUUUUGCCAUUACCGCAGAGACAAUCAGUAAAUUCAAUGCUACUAGUGGUUAAUAGAAAAACUUUGGAUGUUUGGAAGUUUCCUGUACCUCUCGCUUGAAUUGCUUGGUUCUAUAACAGUCAUUGGAGUGAAGAAUUUUCACUGCAACACUCGUAUGAUGGAGGCUACCCUUGUAAACAGUUCCAUUCGCUCCAAGUCCGAUCUUAAAAACAUCAGAGAAUGAUGAGGUAGCAGAUUCUAUCUCUUCCCACGUAUAAUUCCUGAAUUGUACACCAUUACAUGAAAGGGCCUUUUCCAACCUCUUCUUCUCAUCAGCUUCAUGAGCAAUAAUCUUCUCUACAUCUUUUCUCUGCAAAGCUUCUUUUUCAGCACGUUCUCUUACGUAUUCAGCCUCCCUUUCUGCUGCUUCUCGUCUUUUCUUUUCUUGUUGGGCCACUUCUUGAGCCUUUUUUUUCUCUAGUCCUUACCUCUUCAAGUUUAACUGCUUCGGCGUGCACUUAGUUCAUUUAUCUAACAAAAGAAAAUUUAGAAAAUUUUAAUUGCAAAAAACUCACGGAUUUCUUUUGAAAAUUAGUCCCAUAUGGAGAGGCAAGCUUUACCUGAUGGGAAGUGUUAACUGAUUCAUUCUGAGCAAACUCAUACAUUCCCUGAAGAUGCCUGAGUUCAAUUCUCAGCCUUGCAAGCUCACAAUCGAUAUCGACCUGCAAAUAGACAAGACUCAAAUUUAGCAAAUAACUGAAAUAGAUCCGUUUUGAGCAUUACUUGUAGCCCCAAAUACCCGUUCCAGAAAUAGGAGCCUAUAUCAAUAGACACAGACAUGCUAAACUUCAGGACACAAGUUUUGUUACCUUGCUCCCUGAAACUGAAGAUUUCCUUGGAUUUUCUGAUGUUGAACAUUGAUCAGAAUUCCAUGACUGAUCUGUCUGGGAGCUUUUGCAACUAGACAUAGUGAUGUCGCUGCACUGCAUUUCUGAUAUGUUGGAUCUGUAACUCAUAGCAUCCUCAUCAGUACCUAAAGAUAGAAACCUAGUAUGACGAGUGCCAGCAACUCUGGCUUUAGUAAGAGCAGUGUCAGCAGAAGUGGAUCUCUUAUGCUCUCUAGAAGAAAAGGCUAGGUUUCGCUGGAUUGGUCGUGUAGGAGCAUGAGGAAGACAGAAAUUUGCUUCUCCAUCUGUAUCUGUAAAUUCUGGAAAAAGAACCAGAUUACUAAAUUAACAAUUUUCCAAACCUUAUAUAAAGCUAGAAGACAGACCCUUUUGUUCAAAAUUUUUUGAUGUAACAUAUUAGAUUAAUUCUUUAAAAAAAAAAUAAUGAUCAUAAAUUAUCUUACAUCUGAACCACAAAUGGAAUGCUUGUCAGCAAGAUAAAAUAUUUCAGUAUGAGAAUAUUUACUUGGAAAGCGGACAGAGGUGAAAUUCUGAAAGUCAGUAGGAAACAAAAGAAUGCUUCACAACUUAACCUCUUCAUUCCAGUUGAUCAGAAUGCUCUUCAAUCAGUAAUAGGAAAAUUUUGAUGCAAUAGGAGAGAAAAUACAAUAAUUGAAAUUGGAAUAUGUCAAUAACAAAAAAACUAGGCAACCAAUCUGACAAAGGGAUAAUUUGGAAAUCUCAAAAGUCAACUUUAUGUAAUGAAAACAUGAAGAAGAAUGAAUUUGUUCAAGUUGUAUCAUCUUUCUUUAAGAAGCUGACUCCAAAUACAAACUCAUAGUCCACCUUCACAACCUAAGAUCUUCAUUCCAAUUGGUCAGCAUGCCCUCUUUAGUUAGUAACCGGAAAUUGCACUAAAGAGAGACCUGUAUCUCUUGCUGAUAGUUAGUGUGGGUGCUAUAAAGGGGUAUCCUUUCCGGCCUUUUACCGUUAGAAAAUAACUCCAUAAUAUAAAAAAAGACUAGAGGACUAACCUGCCUAAAGGAUAAACUUUGAUCCUUAACAGUGAACUUUAUGUAAUAAGGUGAUCCGAUUCAAUCAUUUAAGUUGUAUCAGCCUUCUUUAAGAAGUUAACUCCAAAUAUGAACUCAGCGAACAAUAAACUCAAGGACCUCAUGCAACAAAAGGUCGUAGAACACCCAUAUAAUUGAAUGUUCAACUCCAACUCAUCUUUGAUGGUUGUGUGUUUUGUCAAACUCUAACAUCUACUGGGAAUAUGAAAAAGGAAUAAGGAAAUACAGCAUGUGACUAUAGUUCUCUCUCCCCGCCCUCCCUCCCUCUUCCUCUCCCUCUCACAUGCAUGCAUGGAAAAAAAGAAAGAAAGAAAGAAUCCAAGACCAUAACAAUAGUUGCAAACAUGUAUAAUUACCAAGAAAGGCAAUUAGCAAAUCAUCGCUUUGACAUGCAGAGGAACAUAGACCUGAUCUAAACAAUACUCCUCUACAACUAACUGUAAAUGCAUCGCAUAUCAAAGCAAAAAAAGGAUGGGUUGAAUAAAGCAAAAUCUAUGGUAUUUACUCUGGUUAUGCAUUUCAGUGUUUAAGUGAUAGGACACAUGGUUUUUAAUUUUUGUAAUACCACAAACAUGAUUUACAUUGGACAAAUAGGUCUUCUUCU
rnacentral:lncRNA from 1 species